rnacentral:lncRNA from 1 species
UCCCAAAAGGCGCCCAGAAGAUCACAUGUAGGUCACUUAUCAUGUGAGAACAUCCACACCAAAAGCUUCUCAUGAAAGAGAAGGCACUUUGUAAUGCAGCAUGGAGUAGACCAUAAAGUUGUUUAAUGACCUUCUGUACACGGUUACUCCUGAAACUAGGCCGUCAUUCUCCUCUCCGUGCUACAAGAUCAAAGACUUGAGGAACACUGAGUUGAGGAUAAAGUGCUGCCCUGAAGCGAAGGUAAAUUUUAAUAUUAAAAGAAAAUGUCCCAUACCACCCUCCAAAAAACUAGCUAAUUCUCCAUCCCUGAUGCCACAUAUCUGAUAGAGUUCUUCCGCAUCCUGCAAACAUUACUGAUAUCAUCUGUAAUUAAAUUAAUUAUGCUUCAGUACUCAUUAUGCUGUUUAAUUCCCCAGUUCCACAGCAUGCACAGCCAAGUUCAAAUUUCCAAGUAAUGAUGAUGUCAGGUCCUCUAAAAUCCAUCCACUUAUAUAUUUCCCCAAAUCUAGGUCAUAUCAUCAUCUCAACUCAUCAUAAUUUAUACUCUCUUAUAAAUCUACAUUGAAUUGCUGAGCCGUGUUUGCCAAUGUCAUAUGAACCAGAAGAUUAAAGAUGAUAAAAAGUCAGGCUAUAAACGUAGAUUGCAUAAACUAUUAUGAAUAAAUGCUUUUUUAAACCUCCCUAGUCUGCAUGAAUUAAAAAGUACACUCUUUUCACAAAUGAUCCAAAGAUCAGUGAGCGCUGCUAAAAGUCAAGGCAUUCUAGGGUGAUAUUUGCACACACACUGGGUACGCCCAAAAACCUUAAACCAUCCAUAAUAAUGCGUCCUCUACCACACUCCACUCCACACCUCAACAAUUAAAAUGGAGAAGAGAUAAAGUCACCCUAUUUUUAGAUCUCCUUCAGGAAUUAAAAUAUGCCAAGGUUUCCCCGUCCACUAAAAUAGCAAAACUGCCCCAGCAAUUCUUGUGGAUCUACACCCCUUGAUAGAAGUACUCAAUUCCUGUUAUCAGUAAAUCUAACAAUCCUUAACCUGUGUCCAGAAUCAAUGAUUCCAGCACAUGAUAGGUUAAUGGAUCUGCAAUCCUUCAGACACUUGCAACAAAAUUUCUAUGGGAUCAACACCACAGACCCUUCAAGUGAGCCUUUCUUUUGGAUCUGCGAUCCUUCAGCCACUUGGAACCAAAUUUCUUUGGGAUCAACACCAAGGACCAAGUGAGUCUUUCCUUUUUUUUUUUUUUUAGUAAUUAAAGCUUAACCAGCACUUAGUCAUGAUCAAUCAAGUCCCAUGGUUAAUCCUAAAAUGAGGGGAAUACCUCCAGCCUAGGAAAAUUUAGUUUCAUUUACAUAUUAUUCUGCAAGGGGUCUAGACAUCUUGAUAGCCUCCUCAAAUAACUAGGGUCAGAAGUGCUCUGUGCCAAAAGGACUCCUAGCCUCAUCGGUAAAUAUAAAUCAGACAUGUUGUAUCCAGUGUCUUCUUAUUUGAUAAUCUCUUGAUCGCUAUUGAAUAAAGAGGGUGUAUACCUACUCCAUGAGGGUAUACUAUUCAAAUUGGAAAUAUCGAUGGCCCCUUAUUCUGUAUACUUGUCUCUUGAACAUUGGUUCCAACUGCAUUCUUCCUUCAGUGAAAGCUCUCUACACUACUUCAAUAUUUCGCUGUAUCCAGUCUAUCUCCCUGAACAGGCUUCCUCUAGUGCGUCAAAGACCUUGACAUACAAAGUCAGUCUUUUCCAUAUAUCUCAAUGCGAACCCUAAUAGAUACCCUUUUGGCCAGGUAUCAUCCCAACCUUUCCAUCCUCAUUCUCAGCAUACCAUUGCCAAAGAGCAUCCUGAGUUGUUGGUCCAAAUCCUCUUAACUAGCUCUUGAUGAGCUUCAUCUAGCAUCCAGUAUAAUUUCAAAACAGAAUGUAUUUUAUGUAGUACCAUGGGCAGGUUUGAGUAAAAUAGGCUGAUGAUAGGCUACUAAUCUUGUCAAACACGAAGCUUAUAUCAUCAGAUAAUGGUCAUCUCACUAGACCAAAACUUAAAAUCUGCCCUGCUUUGAAGAAGAAGAAGAAGAAGAAUGUCCUUUAAAAUCUGAAGUAAAAACCACAUAAUGGCAGAAAAAUCACCAAAGGCUGUAUCAGAAUAAAGUCAGCAGAGCCCUCUCUUUCUCAUCCCAACUAAUCCUAAGAUGACCUAUCCACACUGAACGAAACAGCAUUAAAAGUCUCUCCCAACACACCAUGGUCAGCAUCAACCUGAAAUUUAUUGAGAAAUCACGGGUUUCCCUCCCUUCUCUAGUGAAGGGCCUCAUAUUCCAGAGAUGUCCCAAACAAAACCUCAUUAGAGAUUUCCUAAAGAAAGAUAGCAAUCAACCGCUUUUUCCUGAUCUGUUGUUCAAUGAGCACGUCUUGUCUGAAACGUCAAGGGGAAUGCCUCCCUUGCCAACAACAUGUUCAUCAGCUCCCCCGUCCUCUUCUCCACUGGUCUGAGAAGACUCCCAACCUCACCAUCCAGCCCUUCUACCUCUGUCACCACUUUUACUGCCUCACGAUUUCCCCCUGGGGCCCAGGACGCACUAAUAAAGCUGAAAAACACAAAGAAGAUAUUCUACGGCUCAUAAAACACUUACACACCCCCAUCAAAUAUAACAAGUUAAGACAAUAAAUUUUCCAAACAAAAUUAAUCACUAGAUCACCGUAAAACUGAAAUAAUCAGAUGAUUUCUGCAAACCUUAUGUAUGCCAAAACUUAAUUUCAGAAGCAAGACACAGACAAAAGAGCACCAUAGAGUUCUCUUUGAUCAUGGAACACAAUAUGAUUGUCAAAGGAAUCGCAUAAUAUUGUAAUCCUUUCUUAAAUACCAACCUUCACCAUUGUGUCCCGCAAAAAAUCAUAUUCGAAACGUUUUAGCUGAAGUUGCAGGACAGGAGGAAAAUCAAUGAAUAAAACACCUUUCUUAGCAUCCUGAAAUGUGCAAAUAUUAAUUUUGUCAGAUAGUCUGCUUGACAGAUGAAAUCUAAUGAGAUGCAAUUGAAAGAAUCACAAAUAGCAUUCUUCAGUAGCUAUAAUGCAUAACCAUGGUUGACAUAAGAAUAGUCCACAUAAUGUAUAACUGUGAUACAGUUUUCCUCAUGGGGUAAGACGAGGGUAUGGAACCAACUAGACUGGAGAGUGUGCAUCUAUUGACUGCUUUGGCACCAGGGAAGAAGUUUAAAAACCAGGAAAAACUGACACACACUUACAUAAAAAGAGCACCGUGCAGAUUAUAGAAAUAGGCGAGUAAACUGCUAAGAAGCAAACACCUUUUAAACUGUUUACUAUACCUCUAUUUGCAUUGAGCUUAUUCGCCAUAUUUUUCACUUUAUUGACGAUGUCCCAAGAGAGAUCUAAAAAUGAUAUAUCUACAAAACCUAAAGGCGUACAAAUGUAGAUCAUGGUAUGUGCCUAUCUAGAAAACACAGACCAAAUAAAAUAACCCAAACUCAGUGUUCAUCAAAUAUCUCUGAUAAUAUGAGACCUUAAGAAUAAUAAAAAAAUAAGUAAUAUAAACAACGGUUGAGGUACAAUAAUUGAAAACUGAUUCAUUUAUUAGGCGCCAAAGAUACUUUACAGCUAUCCCACUUUUCCAGCUGGUAUUGUGUAACUGGAUCACUUUAACAGCUAAGCUUUUAUGCAAUCGAUGGGCAGAAAGCUAUUUUGACAAAGCAACCUACUUGUAGGCCAUAUUGCUCUGCAUGAUACUUGUUAUCUCCUUCGAGCUGCUCAACUUCGACAUAUUUGUCAAAAGAUGCAUAGACAUCCCGACAGCCUUUCACAUCAAGUUGGAGAUCUGCCAAAUGUUACCAAAGAUUCAAGAAGUUAGAACAAUCACAGGAAAUUUUCCAAAUUUAGAGGACAAUCCAGUCAUAGAAUAUGCACCAUAGAAUGACUCUUUUCUCGUAGACUUGUAAUCCACAUUGAUGCAUUCAAUGUAAUUCAUGUGAUGACCUUCAAACAAAUGCUGAAUAGUCCCCUCAACAACCGUUCCCUGAAGAAAACACAAAUUAGCACAGUGACAUAACAUGAUAACGGCAGGCGUCAGGAUAAGAAAUUAACAAAAAAAGAAAGAGAGACCUUCAUUUUAUCUUCCAACUUCUCGCAGAGAACCCUAUUAAGCUCUUGGACAUCAUGCUGCAUGAACGAGUCAUAGGUGUCCCAUCCAAAAGAUUUUGUAAGCUCCUUUGUAGCAACGCUAUUGUCACUGUACUGAAGCUUGUAGAAUAAGCUCUGCAAAGCUAAAGGAAUACUUCCGGAUGGCAUAUCAUUCUCUGUGGUAGGCAUAUGAUACACAGCCUGAAACGUGUAACUCAAAUAAAUGCUUCCCAUUCAAUGAAUGCUUGUAGCACCACCAAAGAGUACAGGCUAAGAAUAAAUGGCAAGUAAAAUAUCCAGUAUCCAAACCUUUCUGAAAUAAGGAAUAUGAUACAGAGUCUGAAGAAGAGAAUUCAUGUAACAGGUAGCCCCUUGAUUCUUAAGGCCAACAUAACCUGUUUCUUUCUUUGAAUCAUAUGUCCAGUAGUCGACCACUCUACGAACAGCAACCUCAGCCUCAACUAUACACGUAUCGUUGACAAGAUACCCUCUGCUUGGGUCAUAAAGUUCACUAAGGGGCAUGAAUGAUGUGAAACCCCAAUCACUUUCACGGACAUUAAAUUGGUGUUGUGUUUCUGAAAUAUGCAAAAAUCGUCAGAGGAAUUCUCCCCAAAGCUAUCAACUUGUCUUCCAUAAGAUGCACAAGAACCAACUAAUUAACAAAUUUUGAAAAAUUGAAACGAAAUCCUAAUAACAAAAGAGUCACUCGCCUGAAACAGGAUCCAAUGCGACAUCAGUGGAUUAAGGGCAAACAAGUAUUGUUCAAAAAAGAAGUGAAGAGCAUUAGUGCCACAGAAGAUUUCAUAAGAAUUUUACGGUUUGAUUUCGAAAGGUAAAAUCUUUCUAUCCGUAGAACUAAUGAUAAUUCAUGCACGCAGGACAAUAAGAACUCAAAGACACUGCAAGUAUAAAGUACGGUAGGCAUGAGAUUGUAACAUGAUUGCGACAUGGUCUUAAUAUACGGCCAUGGAUUUCAAUUGACAAGGGAGCUGUAGAUCAAAGUCUUCCAAUAAUAUGCAAUCAAAGGAUAUCUAAUACUCAAAUAUGUACCUUUCCUGAUGGUGUAUUUGUUUUGUAUCUGAUUAAUAACAGAUAAACUGAACUGAGCAUAUCUGCUCCAGCCAUAGGGCAGAUUCGCUGAGUCAGCAACAUCCAGGUACAUAGACAAGUGGUCUACAUUGUUUCCCUUUGGAAAGAUUAGCACUCGCCUGCCAAAACAUACCGUGCAAAAUUAUCAAGUUCCUCACCGGUUAUAUUUAUGCUUUGUGAGCUAAACUGCGAUAGGAAGAAAAAAAAAGUUACUAUUCAACAGUCAGCAUACCAUUUGUAUCCGCCAACAACAAAAAUCUCUGAGUAAAGCUUUUUUGUGUUCAGCCUGGAGAAGUUAUCAAUCGUCCAUGUGAACCUGGAUGACGGAGGAUCCUCCAGCUGCUGAUUCUCUGCGGUGCUAACAGUCUCUGGCUGUGGGGCAACCACUGUAGUUUAAACAGAAAGAAGAGGAAUGAGACGAGAAGGAAAAUCUGGAAGCUACUUGAAAUAAAUCACCAAGAUCAUGUUAAAAAAAGAGAACAACAACUUAUUUAUCACAAGACCAAAACAAAAUGGUUAAUGGUGCAUUUUCCAUCCGAGUGGGGUGUCAUUCCCGGUAGAUCAUAAACCCUAGACCAGUGAGAGUGCUUGGGCCUACCUUCCAUGGGCUGCGGACCUUCAACGAAAUCUGAAUGCGGCACCAGCAUCUCGUCCUCCUCCUGCUGCGGAAAACAAAUACGUACAGAGAGAGGUAGAGAGAGAGAGUGAGUGAGAGAGAGAGAGAGAGAGAGAGAGAGAGAGAGAACAGAAUCAGACAGAUCCACCAAACCCCGCGCUACCCCCGAUCGAACCCAGCGCACACAUAGCCCGAUCUCAUAGGUCGCGCAAUUUACAAGAAUUGCGCGAUUGCCAGCCCCACGGCACCGCGUCGGGCCCCGAAAGCCUAGAAGCCGGCGGGCACGGAGCCGAGCCGUCAAGAAGGCAGCGCUCGACCAGGAAGCAGGAAUGUAAUGGUUAGGUCACACGAGGGCGGACGAUGGGGAGCGCGAGCGGGAAACCCCCAUCCCCCUUCCCACUCGCCCUCCCUCCCCCGCCCCCCACACACUCGCGCGCACAGCACGAGACAUGGGGAAAGGGACAGCAGGAAUUCUGCGCUAAACUUACAUCGAGAGGGGGAGGCGUCAUCAUAGUCAUGGAAGACCACCACGGCGCAGAGGCGACGACCUCGAGCAACUGGACGCGGGCGGCCGAUCCGUCGCCGGCGCCGGCGGGGGAAUCCCCCGGGCCUCGGAAGAAGAUGAUAUAAAAGGUAGAGAGAGAGGGAGAGAGAGAGAGAGAGAGAGCGGGGGAAGAGCGGCGAGGGACGCCACCGACCGGAAGGAAGGGGAGGGGAGGAGGCUACAACGGGGUCACGAUUUAUUUCCAAUUAAAGUUUUUCCCUUCAAAGGGGCAUUCCCGGAAUUCCCAAAAUGCUCUGCUCACGUGUACGAAGAAUCCCACGUGGCGACCAUCGAACCCUAAGAGUUACGAGCCGCCUCGUAGUCGUCUGUUUGGCUCGACAUGUAACUGGUUUGCCGGACUGAGCCGCCGGUUCAGGCCCCUCCACGUCGCCCAGGUCCAACCCGUCCUAGCCUGCCACGUGCAGACCACCAGACCAUACUAACACACGAGACCACGUAUACUCAUGAUUGACAUAUCUACGUGCUAGAAGAUCAAUCACAUUUUGUACUUGUCUUAAAAUUUUCUUUGUUUCCUGCCCACGGGAUGGCUAUUACAUAAUAAUUUUAUUUAAGGAAAUGAUCUAAUUUAUUUUCUACAUGAACCCGAUUUAAAUAUAAUAAUUUUCUUCGAUUGCAUACUGAUAAGAACAUGCGUUAAUACAUGUCCAACAUAAUGUAAUAUUUGUAUCAUUUGAGUGGUCAUUUCUCCAAAGGAAAAUAUAAGUUCAUUGUUUGACAGUAAAUGAAUGAGAGAGAAUGGUUGAGUAAUAAAAGUGUUUAUAAUAAAUAUAUGCCAGUUUAUUGAUACUAAAAGUUAUUACUCAAAUACUUGGCACAAUAUUCAAAAAUAAUAUAUCACCAAGUAGACUAGAGCACAAUUAGUCAUUCAUCAGUAUAUGUAGGCCAUGUAACAUGACCGACAUACAUCUUGAGGUAAAAGUCAAAUGUUAAAGUGUACUAUGUCAAAUUAAAACCCUUCAAGAUGAUGCAACUAACAAACCCAUAUACUUCAAGAGAAGAGCGUCAACUUUUCAACCCAAAUUCAUUGUUUUUUGAGAUUUUACUAUUGCAAGUAACCAAUUAACAUUCUAAGGGGCAAUAGAUGAAGGAUUAACUAUCUAAUCAUUGGAUGAUGCCAUACUAGUGACAUUAUCUAUCUCCCUUACCUUCAGCUUCCAUAUCAUGUCUCCCUCUUCUAGCCACAUAUUGCCAAAUGCAUGUGCCACAUCAUUUUGUGGUCAUGUCCAACAUGUCAUUUGGGUAUGAUAAUGCACAAUUUUGUAAGCUAAUUAAUAAAAAUGAUAAUAAAUAUCAUGUAAAUUAAUUUCAAAGUCAAUGAGAUUAUGUGAAAAAUUACAAAAUAGAUUUUAUAACUCAUUUCAUCUAAGUUAUUUUAUUUAAAUAUUAUUAUUAAUAAAUUAUUAUUUAAUCAUUUAAUUUUUACUAACCUUACUAUUCAAGGCUGAUAACUUGCAAAAUAUUUUGAUUGAUAAUAAUAGUGCAUAAAAAUAAUAAUAAAUAAAUAUUUUUGUUAGAUUUAUUGUAAUUUUCAAACAAUUAUUAGGCUAGAUGGUGGGUUGGUUCAUCAUGCCCAAUGUAGGCCCAAUACCUACCCCAUUAUGAUGGUGGAUUAAAAGAGAGAAUAAGAGGAGAGAGAAAGGGGGCACAACAAAUACGGCACAUGCACCAGCUAGCCUCUUUGACACAAUGACAACAACAACAAGCUCUCUUCUUGAGCGACAAGUAGAGGUAGAGUCAAGCAUGAUGACAUUUAUAGUAGUGAUUUGACCUUAUUUCUCUCCCAUCUCAAACUUCUCAUGUGACAUAUGGAGAGGAACGAGAAUUUUGUAGUUUAGAAAUUUUUUUAUUUUUAUCUACUAUUUUCUAUAAUUUAUCUAAUCAUAUGUUAUUCCUUAAAUCUCUGAUUGACACAAGAAUUAAUAAGGGACUUGAUUUCAAUUAUUUAAUAUUUUCUUUAUCAUCUUACUUUAUUGUUCUUAUUCGGAUUUUUGAGUGACACAUAGAUUUUAAGAAUAAUUUAUGAAUUUUGACUGUUUUAUUGAUUCUAUCAAUAAUAUUUCCUUUACUAAUCUAUGAAUGGCAUAUGGAUAAAUAGAUGAUGAUCGUUCUAUUUUUUUUGCUUUCAAUGUAUAUUUUCAUUUAUCUUCAAGUUCUUCUAAGCUAGUGGGUGACAUAGCAUAACUAAACUAUAUUUAUUUCUUUUUUUUAUUUUAGUGUCACUCACGCUAUUAAUUCACAUAGUUUCUUUUACUCAUUUUGAUUCAAUAAAUAUAUGAAAAUAUGAUUUCAUAUUAUAAUUUGACAAUCAUUUUUCACGAUCGACCCAAACUGCUAUAACUUUCAACUUAUCUUUUAUGUUUUGAGUUGUAAUAAAAAUAUAAAUCUAACAUUUUUUUAUUUCAUUAGUUAAAAUACGAUUAUGUUUAAGAGCCUUAGCAUUGCAUGAGCAUCAUUUUUACUUUUACCCCGAUCAAAAAGGAAAAGCGACAGUACUUAACCCAAGCUCAAGCCAUUAUCACUUUCAUAUGAAUGAGUUUCAAAUAAUAAACAAUCUGAACACGAUAUACUCAUUAUUAUUCACAUUAUAUUUUCUACAUUAAACAUUAUUGAUUUUAUGAAGUCAAUUUACUUUAUGAUUGAUAAGAUAAGACGUGUUGCACUUAUUGUCAUCCCACAUAAUAUCACAAUGCUAAAUUCUAGGAGCAGAUUGUUAAUGACAAGGAGAAACUAGAUGAUCUUUAUUACAACAUAUUAUGUGCUAUUUAAAAACUAUCACUCAUUAUAAGUAAAAAAAUCAAAUUAUAUCAUAAUGGAGGAUUAAUUUAAAUUAACAUUUACAUAGUUCAGUGCAUGAUUAAUUCAUACUAUCGACAAAGGUUAUGAACACUAAAAGAUUAAUUGUGUUCUCAUUUAAUAAUCGUGUCACGACAAGACAGUUCAUCACAAACAAUUCUCGAGGGAAAAAAACUAUAAAUUGUACUGCAAUAAUAACAUAAAAGUUGAUUAUUGCAUCAAAUAUAAUCCCAAAUCACCAUAGUGACAUGAAAGUAGACGAUGGAAAAAGAAAAAAUAGCUGGAAACCUUACACCCAUUUCCUUGUCAUAUCAUGAUUGGCAAGAUACCAUAUGCCUUUUUUUUCCAGUGAAUCAUAUAACUUUCCCUAAGGAGUCGCAAUCAUCUCAAUGAAAAAAUUUUGGUUUGACCUCCUAGAGUUCAACUUAGAAGUUCAAAGAUGUCCAUCAAUCCUUUGGAUGACUUCUAGACUCACACAUAAGACAUAAGAAAUUAUGAGGACUGAAUCAGUAAUUGACAAUUUUCAAAGCAAUACUCACAAACUGCCCCUAACAUAUUUUCCUCAUUUGGGGGUAUAACCCAUAUUAUGCCUUGGUUCAACGCCAACAAGCCCACCACCCAUGACCCCAUUGAUUAACUCAGGGCACAUUUACAACAUAACAGGAAAAUGAAUAUAAUCUGAAGAGAGACCAGCAUACAGGUCUUGGAGAAAACAAAAGGUCAAGCCAAAAUUUUUUACCAAAAAUGAAAGAGUCUAAACUGACGAGAAGCAAGGAAAUGUAUAGAGGGAGCACAAGCCAGGAAUGAGGAAUGGCUGAAUCAUCACCCUAUAUAACCUCUUCACGGUGCCAAACAAAGGUGCACCCUAAAACAUACAGUAACGAUGACAGAUAGUCAACGCCUCAACGGCUCCAAUCCAAAGUUGAUGAGCCACCCUGCUCUGGACUGAAGCUCGAUAAAUAUAUCAUUUCGUCCGGUGAAAACCAUUCAGCCGGGCCAUUUCCGUGAAGCAUCUCAAAAUUUUCUCGAGUAAUAAAUUGCGGGGAGAAGAGAAAAAGGGAAUAAAAAUGGGGAUACGACGGAACCGAUGAGCCCUGUCAAUCUGCAAGGUACCUCCGUUUCCUUGUGGAGUUCAUGUAAGGCCUCAGGACCCACUCAUCCUGAGCUUCGCUCUGAUCAUGGGUUCCUAAUUUGAUCUGGGCAUGCACGAGGCAUGUGGGUUUAGUCAACUGCCUUAAAAAGUAUGAAAGGUAUGAAGGAAAAAAUAUAAAAAUUGGGAUCGAUAAAGUCACCUUGUAAAGAAGCAGAUCAAAUCUCGGACCAACCUCCUUCAGUUCUAUUGAUCCAGGCCCUCCCUGCUGCUGGUAAACAUGAUGCCUGCAAGUGAAAUCCUGUGAGACCAUCAUUGUUGAAGAACCUGCAGCCUUUUGGUGGCAGAGUCUGCAGAAAGUUCAGGAUGAAAGGAGAAAGAAGAAAGCGGGAGACCAAGGCCAGUCCCAGAAAUGCAACCGUAAAUCUCAAUUCACCCGUUUUGAAAGGCACACAGGGAUCACUCAUAUGGGCCAAUAUAUUCACUGUUAGUCAGCACUCCUGUCAUUCCCAUUUGACAAGAUUCUCCCCUGAGCCAAUCACUUGAUCUUUAUUCUCGAAACAGGUGUACUUACUAAAUAUUUACAUACCUGACUGUAUACUUUAUGAGGGGACAAAAAAUAGAUUGACCAACCUGAAGACGAUAUAAUCAGACUGAUUUACAAAGGACAAAAUGCGUCGAGAAUCAGGCUUCGGCACUGGGAAAAGGUGCUUGAGGAUGUUUGCUGUUCUCUGACCCAGCUGCAAAAUUUCCGUAAUGAAGGAUGCGUUACUGGACAAAUAAUGCGGAAUUCAAAGGAAUAAUAAAUACGCAGCACAAAGUUAUGGAAACGCAAAAGGAGAACAAAAACUUAGAGAUCUGUCUGUUUUGGAAUUUGAAACCAUAAAAAAUAAGAAGCAAAAAUAUCUAGAACUGAAUUUAGAACUAUUCACGAAACACAUUUUACAAUGAAAUGAUCAAAUCAUUGCAAAGAGAAGAACCACGUUAAUUGCAACUUUCAACAGCCACCUCUGUAAACUGCGGAUCAGAAACUUACCAUCAUUCUAAUAUUACGAGAUCCUACAAAAUUAAAAAGAAUAAUGUCGAAAUCUAAUAAUUCAGAUCUGGAACUGCAACCACCAACUAAUUAGAGUAUUAGUUGCUUGCUGACAUUUGGACUUUUUUCGAUUGAACAAGAAACCAUUCCUCGUGAUAAUUUCAAGAAAUCCAUGCACAUGUGCGGCUGCUACAGACAAUCUCAAGGAUAUGAUAUUAAUCGCAUUUACUAUAUGAUUCCAUAAGCAUAGAGUAAAUGAGCAAACAUAGACUCAGAAAAAGAAAUAUGUUAGAUACUCUGAGCCACCCUACCUUAGUUGAAAAGUUGUGAAGAACUAAAUGAGGAUAAACCUCAGAGACUUUUCCUAUAGCUUUCUUAUCCUUAAUAUCAUGCCUCGUAACCUGAAGGUACAAAUUAAUGACUCCGUUACCACAAGAGAAAAUAGAUUGGUCAAAGGAGUAAUAAAACUGUUCAUUCAACUUACCACAUUGGAUAAUCCAAAAUAUGCUGUUGGGCCAAAUGGUAAAUGACAGACAACUAAGCCAUCUGGCUUGCCACGAUGCUCAUGCACUAAGAUGACAUCAGUAAAAUCACUUUUACGAGCAGCUUCAAUGAUUUCUGAAAUAACCUGCCAAGAAAAAAAAGGCCAAACCAAAACUGCUUAACAAUAAACAGAGGAUGACAAUUUGAUAUGAAUAAUUUUUUUUACCAGAAGAUUUAAACAAGUGCUAGAUGGGGUUAAAUGGAACUCCAAAAACACACUGGAAGACCACAAAGGGAACAACAGAUACUACGAAAAACGAUACAGGAACUCGUUCCUUUUCUGAGGUUACUGAGUGAGGGAACUCGUUAGGAUACCCCCACGGACUAUCUGUUUAAUGAUAUACAUUUAAGUAUUUUCCACCGACACUUACCCACAAUAAAUUAAAAACUUCUCAAGGAAAAAAAUCACCCCGAAGAGUUUGAAACCAUCCAACAUGGCACAUGACUGGAGGGGAUUCGGGUACUGGACAUUUAAUUGAUGAAACUAUGAAAGAUGCAGCAAGGGUGCAAAAUUUAGAUGGUUUCGAUGUUAUUUCUUAAGCAACCUCAUUCUGUAUUCUAAUUGGAUAUUUAGAGAUAUUAAGCCAUCAUUUUACUGAAGGACGAACCCAUCCAGCCCACGGGAAAAUCCUAUGAGAGAAAGAAAGUAACAGUAAUUAUCCUUGAAUACUCCAAAGAGUAAAAAUGUAUGUUUUCGACGAAAUAUAACAGGAAGUUAUUAAUAUUUCAUAUCAGUAUAUCCUCAGUGACAUCACUGAUCAUCUUUGGUUGUUUCACUGAAAACAUAGCGUCUUGAGCUGAGCACGAUCAACAAUGAACACAUUAAGCCACUUGAUUGACUCAAGACAUUGUUUAUCCAAAUCCUGUUAACCAGAUUACUAUUGGUCAUAGGUACAAUUCCUGAUAAUUCAGAGAGAUAGUAAGCUAAAAAAAAGAAAAAAAUUAAAUCUAUAUUUUUUUCCUCAAAAGAAGUGGGAAAUAGAGGAGCAGAUACACCAAAGGGUAGUCAGAGGAUACUAGUAAACCUUGUUCUCUGAAAUGCAUUUUAUUAUUGGAAAUUAAGACUAAUAUGAAACGCAUUCUUAAAAGACCCACAGAAAGUUCACUGGACGUUUAAAAUUAAAUGAAAUAAAAAUAGAAGAAAGAGCAUCAAAUUGGAAACUGCUAGAGUGCAUCUUGACAAUACAAAGCACGACACCACAGUCAUGCAUAAAGACACAACUACAGCAGACAUUCAGACGCAGCAUCUAAAAAAUAAGAAAUGUAAAAGAAACUACAAAGGUUUACCACAAAUAUGAUUAAAGAUGAAGUGCUUUGAUUCUACCAACCUGACUUCCACGAUUCAUUCUUUGCGAGUUAGGAAAGAUCAACUUCAGUUCCUGUGCCAAUAACAAUGGAGAAAUCAAUCCUAAUGCUGGACGAAACGAACAGUGCGAGAAGAAUUAUCAGGAGUUCAUUGGGAUGGAUUCGAUAAUGACCUUAGCAAACUGAGUAAGGGGCUGACUUGGAUCUCGGGAUGUGGUGAGCAGAAUUUUUGGGUCCUUCUCAGACGCAUUAGCAUACUCAUCAUCUUCGUGGGUUCUCGGUACUGAAUCCAUUAAUUUAAAAAAUAAAAUCGUAUUAGGUAGCUCUAAAGUCAAUAGUGGAUUCUGUUUGUAAUAUGCCAAUAUUCGCCUAGGAACGAGAAGGAAAAAGGUGAAGUCUUUACGUGACCACAAAUAAGCAGUGUAAGAUAAAAGAAAAGUAAUAUAUAUAAUAGAACAUUCAGGAGUUUCCAAUUUAUGCAGCUGAAUCCAGCAUAAAAUCUGGCAUUCGCCACGCGGACGCAGGCUACAUCGGAAGGAAUGCAAGCAUGACACGGUUGAACACACUGUCUGUGUCUGACAAAGAUGGAGAAACCCGAACGCAAAUAACUAGUAGUGAUUAUACGGAUAAUGGACUCUAAGAGAAGCUCCACCCGAUGCUGAAACAUCGAGACAACAAAACGUACCAUCAAUCGACUAAAAUAAACACACAGAAAUGUUCCCUGGCUGAACAAAAACAUAAUUUGCGCACAUUCUUAAAAGGCGGGAGGGGAAAAACAAACACACCUGCGGUUUGCUCGUCUUCAAGAUCUAUCUCCUUUCGAAGUUCAGCUUCCUCAUUCCUGAGCUCUGUCGGGAUAGGCUUCUCCUCUGCCUCAUCGACAGAACACACCAGAAACAGAACUCGGUCAGAGAGAGUGAGCGAAGGAGGGGGGGGGGGGGGGGACAUGAGCGAAUCUAAACGGUGGCGAAAGCAAGCCUUAUACCGGCGAUGGCCUCUCUGAUCUUGCGCUUCUUAUCGUAGAGGACGCGCUCCUUGGCCUCGAGGUUCUUGCGGUAGAGGUACUCCCUCCUCUCCCUGAUCGUCCUCCGCAGCAUCCUGUUCCUUCUUCCACGGUUCCGGCCUCCGGCGGAACCAAGUCCGAUUCCUCUCGUCUCCGCCUCUUACUCCCGCCAAAACCCCAGGGGGCUGAUUAGGUCAAUUAUUUUAUAUAUAUAUAAUUUGAAAAAUAUAUUUCAUUAAUCAACACGCGCCUGUAGCUCAGUGGAUAGAGCGUCUGUUUCCUAAGCAGAAAGUCGUAGGUUCGACCCCUACCUGGCGCGGGCUAAUGUGACCGGCGCUCAUUUUAAAAUCAAUAUCUCGAAUUUUUUUAGGUUGGGUCAACGGGACGGUGCGGCCCCCUAGUAAAGCCCGGCCCACGCAUCCCAAGUGCCCCCCACUACCACCUCAUCCAAGAAUAUUAAAAAAAUAUAAGAAUCAUCUCGGCGUUUAUAAUAAAAUUGGAUUAAUUUUAUUAACAUUAGGCUCCUUCUGGGGUUGGUUUCUUUUUGUUUAUGAGCUUUAUUAGGGGGCCUAAUUUUUUAAAAAAACAUGGCGUCACGGGCUCUGGUUUUAACGGGCUGAGGGCCUAGCUCUCCUGCUGUGGAGUCAGAAUCAGGCGUUACAGGACGACUCCCUGGGAGCACUUCCGCCCGUUUUCCGGUAGAGUGGCGGCGGCGGCAGAGGUAAUCAUGUCGUUCUUGCUCGGUCCUCGGCCGGCAGGGGCGGGUGCGGAGGGUCCUCUCUAUAGUCGCCGCUUUCUUUCUUCAUCUUCUUCCCCAAAUUUUGUUGGAGAUCUGGCUUUCCCGACCGGGUUUUCCUUCCGUUCCUGUUCCAUCCCCGAGAGAACUUUCCCGCUACGGUGGACUGCGCCGGUGGCGCGGCGUCUCCUCCCACUCUUCUCUCUCUCUCUCUCUCUCUCUGGCCUAUCUUUUUAUCUCUACUGCCCGUCGCAUUCUGCUCUGCUUCUGGUGGGGGAGGUCUCCACUUCUGCCCGCCUGCGUUGGCGAAUGUUAUUCAUUGCGUAUUGUUCAGUUACUUACUAACGUGUGUAUUUUAAUUUCUUAGUGAGCAGGAAGGAGAGGGUGGCUCCGAUCUUAGGCAGCCUCUCGGCUGUGGAGUCGUCUUCUCUUCCAUCUGUGCGCUGGGGAUCGCUUUGCUGCGGAGACUCAGCAAAGGCAACCUGUUUUGCUAAUAUAACCUAGGAAAGAUGAAGGUGGUAGCGCUAGUUAGUGGGGGCAAGGACAGCUGCUACGCCAUGAUGAGAUGCAGGGACUACGGCCAUGAGGUGGUGAUCAUCUUUUUGUCUGUGGAUUUUGUAGUGGAAAAGAAACUCUAUUUAAAUAUUUGUGGGCUUGUUCCUGUAUUGCUUCGUUUAAUAAUUUCCUCCUUUUCUUCCUAAAUUGAUCGUGGACAGAUUGUUGCAUUAGCCAAUUUAAUGCCACUGGAGGACUCCAUUGACGAGCUAGAUAGCUACAUGUUCCAGACUGUAAGCCUCGGCCUAUGACUUACUUUCAAUAGAUCAUACGUUCAAAUAUAAGAGCAGUAGCUGGACGUUGUUGAAAAUCCCAUGGAGGCUUUUAGCUUAAUUGUUCAAGAUACAUUUUUGGAACGAAUCGUCAUUCCUUAUGCCCUAGCAUCGUAGACUUGAGAAGUUCAUAAUUUCGGACUUCUAUGUUUACAUAUGCUCUGCAUUUGUGCUUCCUGGAAACACAAAGUUGGGCUGUGAGGCGCCAAUGCUAUAUAGUAAUAUUGUUUCCGUAUAAUAUACGUUUACAUGCUGUGAAACUUUAUUUAUAUGCCGACAUCAUAGCUUUAAAUUUCAGAUAUCUUCCCAUUUAUGUACGCACAUAUGUUUUCCUUUUUGUCUGAAAGUCUAUGACUCAUUAAACUCUUAUGUUGGGGAACUGAUUUGGGGAUGUGUCCAUAGGUUGGCCACCAGAUUGUAAUUAGCUAUGCAGAAUGCAUGGGCUUGCCUUUAUUUCGAAGGAGGAUAAAAGGCUCCUCAAGGUAACAAUCCGAAUGAUUCUUCCUUUUUCUAAAACAUGAGAACAUGUGUAUUGCUGUCAAGCUCCUCAUUUCACAAGUUAUUUCCAACACGUGCCCCUUCUUCCAAUCAAAGACUUUUAAUUAGCAUGCUCUUGAUCUACAUUUCCCUGCUUUGAUCUUAAAUGUUUUUGAAAUUGUUCAGUCUUGUUCUCAAUAUAUCUGUUUUGACAUGUAAAGUUCAUGCAUUUUGCAUACGUCAUUAAAUUGCUCAUAGUAGUUGCAUUUGGAUGCCUUUUAGUAUCAAUAUGUUACCAACAUACAGGGUCUAUCAGAGAGGCUGGAGAUUGAAGGUUUGGCUGUUCUUUUGUAGAAGUUCGGUGGGAGCCAUUUUCAAUUUAAGUUAUAUCACAUAUUGUGCCACACAGGUUGCCCAAGUCUAUUUGGGUGGUAACGUAUCAGAACUUGAUGCUCCAUCCUUUCAAUCAGGUUCAGGGUUUGAACACAGACUAGUAAUUUGGGACAUGCAACACAUCAACCAAGCCCAUGCCCGUACACAAUUCUCUUCUAUAUUUCUUUUUCUCCCGUGCAGCUUUUUAGUUAAAUUAGCAUUGGCAUAUGCAAAACUGGAUUCAAUGGUUCAAAAAUUUCAUUGUAAAAUUUCAUAAAUCUACAAAAGGUUGGACCGGAUACCUAUUAGAUUAUUUGACGGUAUAGUUGAAGAGUACAUGCAUUCCGAAAGUCAUCUAGGAGAGAAAUCGGAAAUUAUUUGGAUCAAGAAACAUGUUGGUUCCAAGAAAAGAUAUUUCAUAUUGAGAAAAGUGUUAACACCUCUGUCUCUAAAAAACGCAAGCUUUUAAGCACAUUUGUUGUGUUUGUCCGAGUGUUUUGGGUGCAUAUUGAACAUUCCCAAAGGAAGAAAUAAUUCAAUUACUCGAAUUUAUAUGUUGACGAAGAAAUAUUUGGGUUUCAAGUUUUUUCUGUACCCUUAUGCGUGUGUCACUUGUCUGUUUUGGGUUACCAGAAUGCAUGAUAUCAAUAAUAAUGAAAAGAUACUUUAUUAGAGUCUGAAUCUAUCAACUUAUUGGAACUACAAAUCGGCCCACUUUAUCCAUUUCUGCGAGAAUAGCUUUGACUGCAAUGGAUCUAAUGGGAGUUAUGGUGUAGGGGUUGCAUUCGUCAUCUACCCUUUAGUCAAAGCAACAUGUCGUUUGUGACUUAGGUGGGCCUUGAUCAGCUACAGUUCAAAUUUUAAGACAAUAUAUUUUUUUGACUCAUUUUCUUACUGUCAAAUUUCUUCUUCCUCAAACCCUAGAUCGUCAUAACCGCCGCUCCAAGCCCUCAAUUCGGAAAAACACUAUUCUUUUUGAUUCAUUGAUCAGACUCAUAUUAUAUUUGGGUUACAACCGGACCUCAUCAGUUUUGAUCGAGAACCCAUUAUGAGGAUCCAUUAUGACUAAUUGGAUCUCAUAAGGGCAGUACUAUCAAGUAAAUGUAAAGACUUGAAGAAAGGUUAUCAUUUUUGUAAAAUCAUGUUUUUUAAAUUAAUAGGUAUCCUCUAGUUGACAACAACUUACAGAAAUAGUGUUGAAACUUCCAUUAUAGUACCAGCUGUAGAUUUAAAAUUACAACCACCUUAUGGUGCUUGGACUAAUUUUCUGUAAAUAGGUAAAAUAAAUACCAGAGACCUUAAAGGAUACCAGGUGAGAAAAUGCAACAGUUGGACACAUCCUCUUUUCAAAUUUCGGCCAUCAUCCCCAUUGCCUUAGGUAUUUCACUUCCCACCCUCAACUGGGCUUCAUUGAUGACUAAAUGUCAAACUCUUUUGGGCACUUCACGGAUUAGAAAUCGUCGAUUCAGUUAUACAUUUUAUCAUCAGGCAUGCAUUUUGUUUAGGUGAAUAUAGAGUUCACUAUUUCCUGAAAGAGCAGCGGAUCCAUUCAGUUAUAAAUGAGCAGUGAUUCACCCACAGUAGCCUCAGUUGAGAACUGGUUAGAGACAUCAUGGAGUUGUCGUUUUGUUGUUUUGUUAUGAAGCUGUAAAGAGCACAAGCACCAUAAAUCUGUGACAACUGUCAGAUGCUUAUUCUUUUCUUCUUGCCCUAAAAAAAUCUAAUUCCAGGCACCAGCACCUCAACUACCAGGUUACAUCAGGCGAUGAAGUUGAAGAUAUGUUCGUUUUGCUAAAUGAGAUUAAAAAUCAAAUUCCUUCGAUAACAGCUGUGUCUUCCGGGGCUAUUGCUUCGGAUUAUCAGAGACUACGAGUGGAGAGUGUGUGUUCGAGACUAGGCCUCGUUUCUUUGGCUUAUUUAUGGAAGCAAGACCAAACCUUUCUCCUUGACGAAAUGGUAAUUAGUUGAUGCUACUGUAUUGCAUUUACUGGGUCUGUAAGAACAUUGUUUUACCUUUUAUCCUCUGGUACUGUCUAAUUCAUUUUUGUUCUCAACAGAUCAGGAAGGAGAUCAAAGCUAUCACAAUAAAGGUAAAGAUUCUGCUAUUUAGUGAUCCUUAAAAAUUUACGAAGGAUUCUGCAUACUUCUAUUAUCACUGCGUUCAAGUUUAUUUGCAACAUAUAAGAAUACUGUGUACAUUAAGGUUUCUGGUGGAGUAGGUUGUUUAUGAUAAAAAAAUUGCACAUUCACAUUUAAAUCAUGAUUUGUGCCAGAUUGCUGCUUUGAAUUUUCCAUCCACUGUCUUAAAUUAGAGCUUUCAUAGUUUUAAUUUUCAGAUGUUUGGAUGUAAAGGAUGAUUUUACCGGGAGCAUUGGUCACUUGCAUUUUCAUAUAUGGAUAUCCGUACAUAAAUUUGUAAAUAAAGUAUUGACGAUGGAAUGGCUACCUCCCAUACAAGAAAUGGAUUGAAUUUUCAUGAUAAAGUAUUUAAUCAUCACAGAAUAACCUGUUGGAAUUUACCAUACAAUGUUCAUGUAUUUUAAUUUUCAAAGAGUUCCAAUUUUUUUGUUUGUUAACAUUCAGUGAAAUUUGUGUUAUUUCAUUCACGUUUUGUCACUUGUCAAAUUUCAGUCUGCAUCAAGUUUCCUUGUUUCCUAGUUUAAUAGUUUAUUUUGCUUUCAUAUUUAAGAUGUCGCAGAUGUCAACCAAGCCGAUCAAUAAUUCACCCUUGCUAAAACAUCAGUCAAGUGAGAUUAGUUGUUGUAAAAUUUUUUUGGGGUACCUGUGAUGAAUUUCCUAUAUGGACAUUUUUAUUUGGUUAUGUAUUGUCGGUCAAUAAUUUGCUUACAUAUCUGUGUUUAACUAUUGGGUAAGGACAAAUGAAAGGUUUCCUUUUUCAAUCUACAAAGGAUGUAUUUCUUGUGUUAAUCAUUUGAACCUGGAAAAUAUCCCGCUUUUUAUGGGUGAUAUGGAUCUGUCUAGGGAACAAGGAAGGUUUAAGGUUAUAUCACUCAUGCCAUUUGACAGUGGCGGGCCAUGACGUUUGGUUGGUUGGUGGAGGAACAUAUGGUGUAAUCAAUUGUGUGGGAAGAUCUUCACAGCUUUCUGUAGUUCAAUGCCCAAUGUUUUGUUAGACCAGUGGAAAUGCAUUUUUCGUGUAUUAUUUAUUGUUUUGUUCAUUUAAGCCUUUUUCAUGCCUGGUGUCCUGUCAAUCCAACUUUGUUUUUUCUUCUCGUGAGACAUUCUCCUUUUCUUUGCAAAAUCUGUAGGUUGCUGCCAUAGGAUUGAAGCCUUCAAAACACCUUGGCAGGGAUAUUCUGGAACUGCAGGCUCAUCUUCUUAAUUUGAAAGAGUAUGUCAGGAUACAAUAUCAUUCCCGCUUAGAAUUUUCAUUAAAUGGUAUGAGUCUUCCAUUGUUGAGUAGUCUGUGCCAGUGUUCUACCAUAAAAUUAUUCUAAUAUUUGAUUUCAUGUAGAACUUAAUCAAUAAGGUAGUCUGAGAAUGGUUCUUUGAUUACUUUUAGCGAGUAUUGUAUUGACAAUUGCUUUGCUUUCAUGGUAGAAUGUAUGGAAUAAAUGUUUGUGGUGAAGGAGGAGAGUAUGAAACUUUGACUCUAGAUUGCCCAUUAUUCAAGGUAAGUCAUUUCCAUUCGUUAGCCAUCUGAUUUUCAUGAUGCCUCAGUCCUAUUCAUGUAUUCUAGUUUCAUAAAUUGGAAUAAUCUUCAUCAAAGAGAGCUGUAUGAGGGUUAUUCAUGUCUAAAUACGCAUGACACACCAUAUAUAUUACUAUCAUAUCAUAGUUAAAUAAGAUGGUGCGACUAUUUUGGUUUUGGGCUAGUGAUGCAUCAUUUCAUGAAUAAUUUUAAAUCAUAUCCAUUGGAUGGCUCGUGAAUUUCUUUUGAAAGGUCACUGGGCAUGUUUCUAUGCGUCUGAUUUACCUCAACCACUGAUCAUUUCAUGAGUCCUUGCUUCUGUGAGCAAGAUCAAUUUUGAUUGGGCGUGGCUCGUCACUAGCUGUUUUCUAGAUUGCCUCGUUACUGUUCUGAUUUCAUGUUUUUUAUAAUUUUUUUAAAUAUAAUUGAGUGAAUGUGGUUAAAAUAUAAGUAUCACAAAGACUGCUUUCUCCUUCUCCAUCAUCAAUCUAACAUGUGAUUUUGCAGAAUGCUCGAAUCAUCCUUGAUGACUUCAAAGUUAUACUUCACUCAGAGGAUUCCAUUGCUUCAGUUGGAAUCCUUCAUCCUUUGGCCUUCCACCUGGAGAGCAAAAAUGGAAGUUUAUCACUCAGUAGUGAAAGCGGAAGAGUUGAAGUCGGUUUGAACAAAAUUUGUAAUGUGCAUGAAGUGAAAGGAGAUUAUUUAUCCGAAAUGGGUAGAUGCUCGCCUGCCAAUUCAGCGUCCAAUUCCCUCGAUAUUAGGAAAAAGAGUGUAUACAUCUCAAGAACCAAAGGCAACACUUUUUCCAUGGCUUCUUGGGUUCAGAAUUCUUCUCAAACUCCAGAAGGUGAACAGUUAUUGAAAUAAUCAAGAUUUCAGUUUGAACUUCUUAUCAAACGAAAGUUUUCCAUAACAAGUUUUAUGCAUGAAGCAUUGUUCUAGAGUCUCCAUAAUUUAUGUCCUCACCAUCUGAAUUGGGCAGGUCUGCAGGAAGAUUUGACGUCCAUUUUGGGAAAACUGGAGCUAGAGCUGAGUAAAAAUGGCUUUGGUUGGGCACAUGUUUUGUACAUUCACCUGUAUAUUUCUGAUAUGAAUGAAUUUGCACUGGCAAAUGAAGUGUACCUCAAGUUUAUAACGGAAAAGAAGUGCCACAUGGGUGUUCCUUCUCGUAGUACAAUCCAGUUGCCUUUAGCCCAAGUUGGCCGCGGCAAUGCAUCUGUGGAGAUCUUAGUGACAGGCGACCAGUGCAAAAAAGUUUUGCAUGUCCAGAGUAUUUCAUGUUGGGCUCCCAGUUGCAUUGGGCCAUAUAGCCAGGUAAAUUUGAUAUUUCUUUUAGUUCUUUGUAAAUGUCUUUCAAAUAAUCUUUGACCAUAUUGUGCCAUCUAGGUAGCUAUCAUUUUUCGAUUCAUUAAUGAAAUCAUGCAACUUACUUUCCCUUUCAUGCUUGGAAAACUCUUUUCUCUUUCUAAUUCUCCUUACAAGCGUUUCUAUCUAUAGGCAACUGUAUCUCUUUUGUUCAAGGGUUGCCUAUUUAUAGCUGUGAUACAUCACGCUGGCAUGCAUAACCCUUACAAGAUAAUCUUGACACACCUUGGCAUGCAGAAUACCUUGUCAAAGAAAAAUCAUAGUUCAACAUGCAGAAAAUUGAGAUGACGAAUAGAAUGCGUCAUGGGCAGCAUAAGUGAGUGGAAUGAAUCUCGAGCAUCAAUGGCUGAUUGGUCAAGAUUCUUGGUAACUUGAACAGAAAUUGAGUGUGAACUAUGAGUAGUAGUCUCCAAAGCAACUAGAGUGAAUUACCAUACAUAUAAAUCAGUGGCAACCAUGGUUACCCGCCAACAAAAUCCCUUGAGGUAGUGCACCACUUUGCUCUGUCCUACGUACCAAGAAUGUAUGAAAUAUUAUAGAAACUCUUCCUCGCAUAAUUACUAUUAUUGACCACCAAUACUGUAUGGAUGUUGAGCGAGUCCUGAUGUCUUCGUUCUUCCCUUCUUAGGCCACGUUACAUAGAGAAAUACUUUACAUGGCCGGGCAAUUAGGGCUGGACCCUCCCACCAUGACGCUAUGCCCAGGGGGCCCAGCCGCUGAAAUGGAACAGGCCUUGGAAAACUGUGAGGCAGUGGCUAAUUGCUUCAAUGGCUCCAUCGCUUCCUCUGCGAUUCUUCUCGUCAUUUACUGUUCUGCAUGCCUCACUUUAUCCGAGAGGCAGGAAAUUCAGCUGAAGAUGGAGGCUUUCCUGAAGAGUAGAGCAUCUUCUUUGCCUCAUGUGGGCUCCGCAGGCUUACUUGAUCCCAUAUUUCUUUAUGUUCUCGCUCCUGACCUGCCAAAGAGGUACUCCUGCUCGUCUUAACUGGUUUAAAUUUAAGCAUCUUUAAUUUUGUUAUCAUGUUAUACCAUAUCACCUUGUUUUUACAUUGCUCGCUUCCUCUAUCUAUUUCCAUUCUGUCUGUACGAGGGUUGGAGGGGUAGCAAGAUAGAUAGAGCGAGAGGGAGAGAGAGAGAGAGUACUUUCCCAUUAUGUCGUAUAAGAGAUCCAUUUUUUGCUAUGAUGUUGAAACCAAUUCGUUUGUUUCUGUAGAGCACUUGUUGAAGUCAAGCCAGUGCUUCAUAUUCCAGAAGACAGAGAAGCUAUGAUUCAAGAUAGCGAGCUAGAGGCGUCUGCAGCCGGAGUACCAGAGAAUUGGGAUUUUGAGAACUCAAAUUGGCAUGACUCAUGUUGCCAGAAAUGGAUUGUACCCGGCAAGAUAUGUGCAGUGACGGUCUCCAUCACAAAGGAUCUUGUCCAGCAGAUAUGCUCAGGAUUGGAUGAAACCCCGGCAAGCUCCCAGCUCUCCAUUCCCAAGAAAUGCAUUGAAAGGACAUCACGGUUCUGCUUUUAUCUUCUGAGCCGGACCCUUCUGGAGAACCAGUUCCGUUGGGGAGAUUUGAUAGUAAGUUUUUUUAAAUGAUCUUAAAAGCAUUCAUACUACCCUUUGAUGAUGGUUCCCUCCACUUUAUUUUCAUGAAAAAUUAUAGCAAGUAACUAGACACCCAGGCUUAUCAUACCUCCCCCUACCCUUGCAGAGUCUAAGGUUCUACUUCUCAACGGCACUUUGUAUAAACGCCGAAGAGUUGGAGCUCAUAUUGACCCAGGCUAUCUCUGAGUUGACGGAGGCUUCUAAAAAAAGCAGUGAGACGCUGGAGGGGCCCAUAUUUAACCUUGUUCCUGUCCUAAGCUCUGGCGGAUCAGCCUCCAUGGAUGACUUACUCACUUGCGAAUUAUUUGCCUCCAAAACGUGAAGCCCAAGUGGUUGAACCUCCUGAUAUGACUAGUCAUAUGAUCUUCUAGCCAGAGCUGAUAUAAAUAGAAGCAUUAGUGCAGCUGUCACAGGAGUGUCAGAUCUCUUACGAGCAUGAUCCUGCUAUCAUCAGAGGAGAUUAUUUCGCCUUGUCAUUUGUCAGCAUGAUGCCCCAUAAGCAGGUGAGUCAACAAUCUCUCGUUGUUGACCCUGAUAGGUAAUCUUGAUCUUGUUUUAGAAACCUCUGCUGAACAGCGCUGUCAUAUUGUGCUGUUUCUGUUUGCGAUGGGGAUGAUGAUACUCUUUUGGUCGGAUUUAUUCUGCCUGAAACACCCUGAUCAAGUCUCCAGUUGAUCCAUCUUCAGCUUAGGAAAAUGGCAUCAUCAUUCCUUAUAAGUGCAAUCAUAAAAGCCUAAUUCAACCUACUAUGCAUAGAUGACGAUUGAAUGAACAGUUUUCCUUAUGGAGCGUGCUUAAUGAACAGUUCUCUCAUUUGCUUGGCUCUUCACCUACAAUAACAGAGAGGAUGAACCCUGGUUUCCAAUUGCUUGGCUAUUCUAUAUGUAUGUAUUGUGGUGUCAACAGACCUGCCCUUGGCAGUCCAUCCCGAGCUUUCAGCCGCUUUUACAAGAUUUAAUAUCAGAAAUGGACCUCAAAGAUGAUAGACUCAACAUGAGACCUAUAUGAAUCCCAGUUCUUGCCCAAACUUCUAUAUGUUGUUACCGCACAGAGAGAGAGAGAGAGAGAGAGAGAGAGAGAGAGAGAGAGAGAGAGAGAGANNNNNNNNNNNNNNNNNNNNNNNNNNNNNNNNNNNNNNNNNNNNNNNNNNNNNNNNNNNNNNNNNNNNNNNNNNNNNNNNNNNNNNNNNNNNNNNAGAGAGAGAGAGAGGUGCUUACAUAUAUCAACUCCUGAGUUGGUUUCUUGUACCAACUCAGGAGUAGAUUGACGUGGUAUAAAAUAAAAACUCAGGUGUUAGCACUACAAUAUAAAAUAAAAAAAUGGCAAAAUGUUACAGCUUAAUUGCUCUGCAGCAACAGAAAGAUUAGUCAUAUGUGGGCUUCUCCUGAAUGUUUUACUGCUGAGUAUGGUUAUGACUUUUUCGGACAAUCUGACUUUUCAACAAUAAAUGGAAGCACUACAGUCGACCAAUGGCAAUGAUUUUUUAUUGCUUUAGGCAUGAAAGCUAAGGGGAAUGCCAUUCUAUAGAAAGAUGAAACCGCAAUAACAUUUAAUCAAGAGUUCUAUGCUUGAGAAACUACAUUUUUCAUAGCAUUUUUAUGGGACUGCAAGUGUUUUGAUAUCACUUUUGAUAGGUUGAAGCCUUUAUUUCAAUAAAUCAUCAUGAAAAGAGGUAAUAGAACCCAGGGGUGAGACCUCUUCCUCUGGAGAGUGAUGCACACUAGGAGCGCUGUGCUGCUAUAAAUUGUGUUUUCAUGUUUUAGUUUUGUAUGCAUCUUUGUAUCAUCCGUGACUAUUUAAAAAUUCAAUUCAUGCCCCCUCCCCCUUCCUCAGCCUUUCUAACAAUUGGUAGUAGACCCACCCUCUUAGAUGUAAAGUAAAAAUUAUUGAAGAAUAUAACCCAUGUUUAACAUUGUACGAGCUUCCUUUGUAGGUCGUUCUACCAAUAACCCACUUUGUUCAAUGUUAUCAAAAAGUUCCAAGACAUUUUGGAAGACCUAGUAGAGAAACUCUUAUUCUCUUGAAUGCAAAAAAUAUCAACAUUUUAUUUAGUGAAUUGGAUUCCAUGUCAAAAAAUAAAAAAAUAGAUUAACUGGUGCACAUGCACCAGUUUUCAUGAUGCUGCCCACCAAAUCCACCAAAAUGUUUAUUCAAUUAAAAAGCCUGGGUAAGGACUACACAAAGUCAAUAAUUAUUACAAAGAUAUUGUGCUCUAUUUCUCUUGACCAUAAAUGGAAGGUAACAGCUGUGGGUAAAGCAAAAUCCUUUACUAAAAUGCCAUUGAAUCAGAUCAUGGGCUCCUUGCUUAUAUAUGAGAAUGGGCUAAGUAGAGGCUUUGGAGUUAUUCAGAAGAAUGUCCCUAUCUCUCAAAACAAAUGGUCUUAGUUCCUCUAGUGAAAGUGCUGACUAAGGCGCUUGGAAAUAAUAAAUAAGAAACAUUAAAUAAAAAAUGUUUUCUAAACUUGACAUAUCCAAAAGCCUGGUAGCUUGUUUUCAAUGUAAAAGUUAUGCAAAUAAACUAGUUGUCUGCGGGAGAAAAAGGGGAAGCGGAAGGUUCCAACAAAAAAAAAAGAACGAUGAGUGCUUGCGACCACAAGUCUGCAACGUAUCCAACUUGCGUUUGGAAUACAAGAAAGUCAAAUUUGCAACAACACAAAAAAAAAGCGAAGGUUUGUGUUUGAGAUAACCAAAGCUUGAUGUACUAUAUGCACAAUAAAUGUUAUAUUUUAAUAUUGCGGCAUUGUCAUUUUCCACAUACGACAUUAUGGUGCACAACUAUCAUUGGAAUGAAAUCCACUUCGUCUUUCAAUGUAUAAGAGAUUAAGGUACCCUCAAAUAAAGAAAUGUCCCUUCAGGCAGAUUAUUGGCAGUUGUGUUGGGAAAGUAAACUCGCCUCAGUUUAAGUGAUUGCUUAUUGGUAGGCAUCAAUUAUGGUUGUGGAAAUGCUAUGAAUCUUUAAUUUAGACAGGUAAAUUCUUACACUGCUAAAAUAUUAUUCCUUGGACAAGAAUCAUAGUGUAGAACACGUACUCAAUGGGGGACUUUUUUUUUUUCUGUAGACCACCGUUGAUGUGUUUUUGAGUUGAAAGUCGGUGAUAAUGGGGAUAUUGCUGAAGUCUUUGAAAAAAAAGGUAAGCCAUAUGAUAAUGCUUUACAUUAAGCACCUACAUGCUCAUAAGAUCAUGAAACUCGACAAUGCUAAAUGAAAUCAGUUGGUAUAUGAUGAACAAGCGGCUACUAUUACUUGGUUGGCAACAAGUUUCUCGCACAAAAAGAAAAUAAUUCGACCCAUAGCCACUUGGGGGUGUAAAAGCUGUCAAUACAAGGUGCAAUAUGAUCUUUCAGUAAAUCAGGGCCUUGCUCUAAUGCAUUAACUUGGUUCAACCUUAUAAGUUUAGGAUAAAACGAAGUGAACUGAAGAAAACAACCUUUGGCGCAUGCUAGCUGACUCACAUGGCUCACACUGCAUGGGAGACAUCGAGGUAAGAACACACGAUGACAUCGUUCAAAGGGCAAGAUAUAGAGACAUUUUUUUCCUUGUGUGUAGAAAAAAAACAAAUAGACAUCGCGUGUUUGACCGGUGCUCAAACUCUCAUAGUCCGCCUCAUUCUUACCCAAGCAACAGAAGCACAGUUUAACCUUCAACGAAAAAAAAUCUCACAAAAGAAAUGGGUCUAACACUUGUUGACAUCGGGGCCAGCCACUAGGCGUAGUCUUUGCUGGGUGGGUAACUUGGGAAGGCCACAGGCCACACUUGGCACGAUUAUGCAGAAAAUAAAGCAAUCAAAUUAGGGCUUGCAAGGUACUCAAUGAACAGGACUUAUUAUGCAAGAGGAAGACGACUGGCUAAAAGUGGUGGGCAGGGUGACCUGAGGUCUGAUCGGUAUUACUUCUCAAAUCAUUGCCUUGUAAAGGUAGAUGGCAAAGAGGCUCAAUUCUCUCCAUUGCUCAAAGGGUGGGUUCUCUGUUCUUCAACCAAAAUCUCUAGUUUCCUUCCCAGCCGGGGAACAGACAGGUCCGGUCAUUUUCCUUUACAGUUUCAUCACAGUCGGUCCUUUCACUUUAACGACAAAAACACAGAUGGACUAAGACAACAUUAUAUCACAGACGAGGGUUGAUACCUUGGCGGGUGAAGCCCAAGUGCGCAAAAAGGUCCACCAGAAUCCUUGAUUUCCUCAGAACGCAACGCAAUUUACACAAAAAGAAUGAAACUUUCACACAACAACAGCCAUCAACAGCAAGAACAACCAGAGAAAUAGAAAGACGGAGAGAGAGAGAGAGAGAGAGAGAGAGAGAGAGAGAGAGAGAGAGAGAGAGAGAGAGAGAGAGAGAGAGAGAGAGAGAGAGAGAGAGAGAGAGAGAGAGAGAGAGAGAGAGAGAGAGAGNNNNNNNNNNNNNNNNNNNNNNNNNNNNNNNNNNNNNNNNNNNNNNNNNNNNNNNNNNNNNNNNNNNNNNNNNNNNNNNNNNNNNNNNNNNNNNNNNNNNNNNNNNNNNNNNNNNNNNNNNNNNNNNNNNNNNGAGAGAGAGAGAGAGAGUUACAAGGGGAGUGAGAUCUUAGGAGGAAGACUUUGAAGGCAGUGAGCAGUGACUGGAGCCAAUGGCUGUCUUGCCUCGCAGCCUGGGGAGAAUCCUCAUCUGCCAUUGUUGACGCCACAGUGGAGAAUUCUCCAGAAGCAGAAGCAAGCCCACCCUGCCCUGAUCAAACAUAUAUCUGGAGCUGUAGAUGGCAACGAACACCAACAGCAGGUGGUCAAUGAUGACAACAAGAACACCAGAAGAAAAUAAAGCACAGGUGACCUUACCUAGUCCGAUGUGGAGUCUUCUGAUUUGGAGCUUUCCUCCGAAAUACAAAUGAGAUGGCCCACUGCAAUACAGCAGAUGAUGGAAAAAAGUCAUUCUCUGCCAGAGACCCAAAAAUUGUCGUUGUUAGACUGAAAAAAUUAUCCCAAAUUACAGUUUGAAUUGGCGUAUGAACACCACCACUCUGCAAAUAUCUUCGAGGAAUUCUUGUCCCAAAAAAUAGCCCUAGGCUACAUGCAAUGGAUUGUGUCGAGAUUAGCAUUCCAAAUAAACUAAAACAGAUGAGAGGAGGAAUAACAAUUAUGGAAUUCCUCUCCCUAAUUUCUUGAAAUUUCAUGUAUGAAUUUCAAGCAAUUGAGCAGACAAAAAAAUAACUAAGUUUUUAAGAUCGAAAAACAUUGUGACGAAUCCACCUCCCAAUGCAAUGACCGUGGCUAAGUCAGAAGAUAAAACAACCAUCAUUUCAAUACUCGAAAUUUAGACACCUAAUGGGUAGCAUUAACAUGAGUCAAGAUUCUAAUAGCCUGCAUGAUCUUAAAAUAAGGCUAAUUAGGAAAGAUUUUUGACAUCAAUCUAUAAAUUAAGUACAUUAACCUACUAAAACGAAAAAACUGACAAUUUCCAUUUCCCAGUCCCACUCAGAUGUCACUUUCGAUGAUUUCAGUGGGUUUUAUUCAUUGCAUCGAUGAAUGAGUUAAAUUUUCAUUGCAAACGAAGUGGCAGGAAGUGAUGAGCCACAAACGAAGAAAAUGAUGGUGAAUAGUCACACUACUGAAGAAUCCACACAAUCAUUAGCGCUUCUUUCAAGAACCAUACCUAUCAGGGUGAAAACAAAAGCCACACCUACAUUCAGGCGUUUCUUCAUGUAAUAGCAUAAUGAGAUCAAGAGGGGCUUAACUAUCAAUCAUCAUUCGGGCAAAAAAAAAAGUUCACAUACUGUACAUUAAAACUAACAACCAGGUAGACGAUGCUUGGAAGGGGAGACGUGAAGUUUCCCAAUUACCUUAAUGGCGGACAUGAAUGAGAACCGACCAAGAAAAGAUUGCUUCUUAACAAGCUUUCUUGCAGGUGGAGGUGGAGGUGAAGGCGGAGCUUCCCUAUAAAAUUGCUGCGCAAUCUCUUUCAACAACACCAGUUGUGCCUUCUCUGUCCGCAUCGACAUGAUUGCCUGUCUCAUCGAUUCCCUGUCAGCCUCCAAUGCCUGCAGCCUCAUGUAGAGCUUCUGUAUGUCUGUCUCCUCUCUGCCGCUGAUGGCGUCCCCCUGGGACAACAAGUCCCUCGGCGUGCUUAGGCGUUCCUCGCACACACUAACCGUUGGAGUUGAACUGUGCACGGCGUCGAUCGUGUACACCCUGUCGCUGUUACCCUCGUCAUCCCCUCCUAAAUCAGAGGACCCGUCGAACGCCACCGGAAAUUCCUCAUGUUGCUUUCCAUUUGGAAUCUUGGCCAGUAGCGAGUUGAUAGCGUCAGAGGAGAAUUCCUGGGCGUGGUUUGCCCCCCCACAGAUGGGAGAAGAGGAACCCAUCACCACGCCUUUCUCCAUCUCGUUCACCAGGCUGGCCUGGCUCGGGGUCCGCUCGAGAUGAAGGAUUCUCCGCUCCAAAUUCUGCAGAUGCUCCCUGCGGCGUGGAAUUUCCGUUGGAGGAAACUUGUCAAGAUCGGCAUCGUUGAUUUUUGGGUUCAGCGGUCGGGAAUCCUCGCAGCACCUCAAUAAUGGGUACUGGUAGGUCGGAUAAUCAUACUGAAUAGUGUCCCUUUUGCUAUCCUCCUCCCCUUCGGCAGGCGAGACGGAGUCGGGAUCGACGCCGUGGCUGAGAAGGCGAUGGCGGAAGGCCUGGACCUCGCAGGAAAGGGCCUGGAGAGACUGCUCGCGCUUGUAUAUCAGAUCCUCGAGAAACAGCAGCUCCUGCUGGUCGUGAGCCAUCUUCUCCUCCGCGUACCGCUUGAACUGGCGUGCCUCCAUCUGCACGUCCGCCUUCUCCCGCUGAAGCCGAAGGAUCAUCGACAUGGCCUCGGUGGCCGCGGAAGCCGACGCCGCCCGCUCCUGCUCCAGCUCCACGCACAGCUCUGCCACCGUCUUCUGGUGCCUCGCCACCGCAUCCCGCAGGGCCGCCACCUCGUUCUCCACGUCCACCCAAGCCGCCACAUCGACAUGGAUCGAGCACCCCCCCCAUCCCGUGGCCGCGCCUCCUCCAUCGCUGCCCUCUAUCUCCUCCACCUUCCUCUUGACAGAGCGACGCCAUCCCGCCACGGCGCCGCACCGUGCACAGCCGCAGGAGCAGCACGCCUCGCCCCGCGGCGGCGGGGCGAGCGAUUCCGGUUCCGAGCGCAUGGAGUGCCCUCCGCCGGCAUCCAGGGCAACGAUCCACCUCCUCGCUCCUCAACCCCCCAUCCUACACUGCAAGGGGGAAGGAGAGGACCCUCCCUUGCCUCGGUCAGAUUCCGGCCGACCCAAUCCACCGGCAGAGAAGGGGGUAGAUCCGGCGAUCUGCAGACGGAGGAAAUUCGGCGGGACCUUCCCUGGCCGGUAGAUGGAGGGAGAUGAUGACGGUUUGAAACCCUAGAGAGAGAGAGAGAAAGAAAAGACAGAGAGAGAGAGAGAGAGAGAGAGAGAGAGAGAGAGAGAGAGANNNNNNNNNNNNNNNNNNNNNNNNNNNNNNNNNNNNNNNNNNNNNNNNNNNNNNNNNNNNNNNNNNUCUCUCUCUCUCUCUCUGCGGGGUUCGCGGCGGCAGAAGGUGGCGAUGGAACCGUUGGCGCCAUAAAUGGGCGCGAAAAAAUAUUUUUGCCGCGUGUGUAAUUUUUAUUUCCAUGAUGGGACUUAAAUGUUGAGCACUUGCUAAUGCGAUCUCGACUCUCAGUAUUUACUUUCAAGCCCCUCCCGACUGGCUAAACGUGGCUGCCGCAGCAGGUCACGUCAUGUCGGAUCGUGCUUGGGGAAUAAAUCUAGAACUAAAUGGGGGCAUGUCAUGGUUUUCUGUUGUAUAGUGGGGCUAAAUGAGAAUACUACGGACCUUUGCGCUACUCAGAAUGGGUCGAAGAAACGUGGCGCAGUACGCCGCUGGUGUACCGAGUAGCUCGGGGGUUGGUCGUACCGAGGUGGUUUCGCUUGGGUCCCACCUCUCAUUUUCUUUCUAUUAAGUAACACGUGCUGUUUUUUACAUGCCCUUCUUAAUUCGAUAAAUGCAUAUAAUUACGUACAGAAGUUUUAAUGAAUUGUAAUAUUUCCAUUGAAUAAUGAUAAAUCAGACCAAUUGAUCUCCCCUUUUAUAACAUGAAUUAUUUUUAACCACAUAAAUAGUAUAAUAAUGACGUUUUUAUUAGUGCUUGUAGCUUAUUAACGCGUAGAUUUUAGAAUUAAGUCCUUCUUAGAAAGCAUUAUUAAAUAAUCAUGGUACCUCUUUGUACUCAAAUUUUCAUGGAACCUUAUGAGUUGUCUCCUAUGAGGUACUAUAGAGAUGUAGAGAUGGAGAGAGAGAGGGAGAGAGAGAGAGAGAGAGAGGUGAGCAGCAACAUAGAAGACUCCAAGGAAUCCACAUCGCACAAGAACAAGCAGAUUCUAAUCACACCCAUACACUCCUCUCCAUCAUUCGUAGCCCAUUUAAUGGAGUUACAAUGAGGUAGAAAGUUUUAAAUGUUGUUUGCAUUAACUCCUCCCAAGAUAUUGUAUUGACUUUUUAACUUCCUUUGAUACUCCAAUUGUGGAAACAUAUUGAACAUUAAUGGAGUUUGUAUAUAAUAAAUAAUUUAAAUAUUUUUUUAUUUGUUGAUGGAUGCUCAUAAAACUAUGUUUUCUUUUAUGGGCCUUAUUGAGCCCAAAUAUGUGCAUUUGGACCAUUGAACCUCACCUCCUCACAAAAUACUUCAAUUGCGGAAUAAGCAAUUUUCAUAUCCAAUUUUUUACUUGCUCAUCACAUUGAAAAAUUAAUAGUAUUUUUUCUACAUACAUUUUUAUUUAUUAAAAAAUUAAUUUAAAAAUAAAAUUUUUACGAAAAAGUCACUUUCCUUUCUGUAAAAUAUUAACUAGUGAAAUUAGACAAGGUUAUUUUUAGAGUUUUUUUGAAAUAUUGGCUUAAUUAACAAAGGUUAGUCAAUGAGCUAUGUUCCUACUAAAGAUAACUAAUUAAGGUUCAUGACAAUUAUAACUUGCAUACUAGGCUAAUAAGCAUACAAAAAGUAAAAGAAUAUUCCAUUUUUCCCUUCAGCUCACUAAAAUUUGAACAAUUAUUAGUAUCCAUUUCUUUAUUGACUUUUCACUAACCCCAAAAUUUUUUAAUAUUUUUUUUUUUACAAUAUACAUAUUUAUUUCUCAAAAAAUAUAUUUCUUGAUGAAAAAAUAAUGGCUAUUUCAAAAGAUAUUUAGGAAACUAAUUCAGGUUGGUAAGAUAAUUCUUUUGAUAUUCUACAAGCCAAUUGUAAUGAUAACUACCAUACAAAAAUAUAGAAAAUUACAUUAAUUUCGUAAUCAAGAUCUAAAGGUUUAGUUUUAUUAUUGUUAAAAAUAAGAAUUGUCCCUACAACAAACUUGGUUAGUAUAAAUUUUAAAAAAUAAAAAUAUUAAUGGUGCAUAAAAAUUAAGUGAACUCAUGAGUUGAGCCACUUUGACAUAUGCAUACCCACUAAAAAAGUGUGUUGACCCAUCAUUAGAAAAAUAAAAAAAAUCAAGCAAUGACACAUGACAGUCAAAGUCAAGAUAACAUAUGACAAUUGUCUAACACGAUGACUAAGAGAAUAUUACAAUCAAGAUGGCACAUGGAGGUCAUUUUCACAAUAUAAGUGACAUGCUCUUUUGAAAGAUGUCUUAUUGUCUAACUAAUCAAAAUUACACAACUUGACACAUUGAAAGAAUGUCAUGUCUACAUCUAAUUCCAAGGGAUGAUUGGUUUUUUAAUUUUUAAUUUUCAUUCUCGUAUAUUAACUUGGUUAGGUAGCCAACGACCUAAUGAGCUGAAGAGACAACAUGAUUGAAGGAAUUAGAAAAUUUUUGCCUGUCUAGGCUUACAUAUACUUCCCAAAUGAUCAUUCUUUAGGUUUCACUACUUACCACAUGUGAGUAUAAUUGAUUUUUUUAUUAGUCACUCUUUACAUGGUAAACUCCAUGAGCCAAAGUUACCUAACCAAGGAUCAUGGUUAUGAUAACUAUCCAUAUUCAAAUAAUCACAUCACAAGAGUUAUUUAUAAAGAAAUGGAGCACACCAUAUAUGUUCUUCAUAAAAAAAUAAAGUUUCAGGGAACCACUAAUAAGGGGGGGGAUUUAAAUUGGGUGUUUGCAUGCUUUCUAAAUUAUGACUCAUUUUUGUACUAGUUAAUAUAUUGACACAUGUUCUCUCAACAGUUCUCUCUAUUUUCAAUUUCUUCUACGGCUCUCACUUCUCUUUAUCUUUCUUGUCUUGUAAGUACAGAGAACACCAAGACCUUUAAUAUUGGUUCACCCCUCAACGGAAUAUAUUAAGUUCUGGAAGAUCCAUUGACCAUAUUUUCACUAUUUUUCUUAGAAAAUACAUACUAAAUUUACAUAUUCAACCACCUCAAAUACCACAUCUUUUAUAAGUAAAGCCAAACUAACAAUACCUCAUGUUUUAAUUCAAAUCUCUCUCCACUUACCACCCAAAUAUCCUAGAAUCUGAUGGAGAGAGUCAACUUUUUAUUUGAAUCAUUUUUUGGAUCCCUUGGUGAAUUGAAGUUGGUCUUAGGUGUAACUUGAUUACAAUAUUCUAUCUUCUAUUGAAGCUUGUGAUGAUUGAUCCCUAUAUUUGUGAUGUGGAUAAGUGUGGUAAUAUCAAGCAAUUCUUCUUAGUCAUUCAUACAUACAUAUAUAUAUGUAUAUAUAAGAUUUUCUUACUAUCUUUUGUCUUGAAAAUUAUUUAGUCUUCUUUAAAAAUUUUCUCAUUAUUUUGUUUUCAGGACUAUGACCUUUCUACCUUUCAUGACUCAAAACUCAUUCAUCAAGUUUUUAUUUUAUUUUUAAUUCAAACCAUAGGUUCUUUUCUUGUCAAUGAAUAAUUUUUCUUCUAGGUUCAAGUCCAAGUAAAUAUAUUCAAUUGGUCUUUUAGUGCAUGUAUGUUGCCAAUGCAUCAUUGUCUAAGUCCUCAAUUCAAAACUCACAAUGACCUUUAUAUUAUAUAUUUUCCUUAUUUUCUCAUUUAUGUCAACCUUAAGCUUUUUUACUAAUAUCUUAGAAUACUAAGUGUACAUUUAAACAUUAAUUCUUUCAGACAUUAGAAUCAUUUAAUAUAAAUAAAAUAUCCUUAUAUUUCCCUUUUUAGUCAUAAGAUUUCAAGUCCUUGAAUAUUAUUUAUAAAAAUGAAUAUCAUAUAUAUCAACCAUUUUAUAUCAUUAUUCAUCCCAUUUAAACUUAAAUGAAUAUCUAAUUAAUAAGUAAAAUUUCAUUAAUAUUAAAACUAAGGGGAUUAACACAAAGCACAUGGCAUAUGUUGUUAACAUAGUGGAAAAACAUGAUGCACAAAAACAAACCUUGGUGUCAACAAGCUUCCCUCCACUUGAACCUUUUCAACCUCCGCCUAGAGAGUCAAGGGUUUCUAUUGGAAUAACUAAUAUCUAUUAUAUAGUAACCUAUUUAAAUACAUGUUACAAAUGAUACUAUAUUGUACUUAGUCAUGAUCCCUUAAGUGGAUCCAUUAACCCUAUAUCAUAUCCACUUAAAGGUAAUUUUAAAAUAAGGAAGGGAUGAGGUAUAGGAAGACAAAAGUAGGAGAGGGUAGUUACAAUAGAGUAGAAGAGAGACAUAGACAAAAAACAACAAUAUGAUCAACAAUGCCCUCAAGUUAGAUGUGGAUGUUUCUAUACCCAACUUCAACAUCUUGAAAAAGGUUAAACUAGAAAUUCCCUUAGAGAAAAUGCAUGUUACUUACUUUAACAUCCUAAUAAAUGUGGGUUCUAUUUGUGGAUGGUUAACUGAAAUAGGGCUUUUGAAUUUUAUGUUAGCGAACGUCAAUUCUCUACAACCCAAAAUUAACAUUGCCAUUGGAUCAGAUGAAGACUCUAAGUGCAUGUAUGAGGCUAUGAUUGUAAAAUUUACUAAGUUCAAAUAAAUUAUGCAAUGUAAUCCAGCCUAUGUCAUUACUAUAAUUAUGGAUCUAAAUAACAAGUUUCAUGAUUUUCCUUGUGAAUGUCAUGAAGUUGUUCGUGAGUAGUUACUUAAUUUGCUUGAUGUAGGUGGCGAUGUGCAUGUCAAAAGGUAGGAAUAUACACAUAGAGCAAAUUAGGACAUAUUUCUGAUGCCCACUUCCUUAUGUCAAGUGUUGAUAGAGGAGAGAGAAACCCUAAAAAUGAAUGAAUUAAACUAGAGGGACAUACACAAGUAUUUAUCGGAGAAUAGAGACAGAAAUGGGUCCUUUAUGGUCCAGGUGAGCUAUCAAACAUCAAGUAUAUAUCAUAAUUUUUUAUUAAGCUAUAUAGUAGGGGAUGAUCAACCUAUGAAGAGGGAUACAACCUCUAUUAUAAAGGAACUAGAUGAUCAUUUGAAUGAAAGACAUCGUUGCCAAUCCAUUGGCAUGGUAGGGGAACAUUGGAUGCUUUCGAUACCCCAAGCUUUCUUGUCUUGCAAAGGAGUACCUCUACAUUUGUGUGACCAGCACACUUGCGGAGUGCCUUUUUUCAGUUGGGAGAGGUAUCAACACAUAUAAGAGGGGGAGUUUAUUGGGUGAAACUAUUUAUGUGUUGCUAUCAUUAAAAUGUAGGGCGCGAGAGGACAACAUUGAAGAACACAAUGUGACACGCAUCAAGAAGGGGAUGUCUUCAAACAUUUCCCAAUGUUCAUAGCUGUAUUCUCACAUAUUCACUCAUUAUAAAUAUUAUGAUUUCAUUUAGAGACCAAUUUAUUUUUUUUGUUCUAUAUUUUAAUUUAACAUAUUUUAUCAAGUAUUAUUUUCAUUUUUAUUGAUUUUUUUACUAUUUAUACUAUUUAUUUUCCUUAUUUCACUGCAUUUUCCUUUUUUUUUCAAAUUUUCCCUGAUUUUUAAUUUUAAUUUAAUUUUUUUCUCAAUUCAUAGGAUUUUCUUGAAUUUUCAAUUUUCCCUGAUUUUCUUGAUUUUAUUUUAGUUUUUUCUCAAUCACUAGCAUUUUCUCAAAGUUUUCAUUUUUUCUGAUUUCUUUGAUUUCAUUUUAAUUUUCUCUAAGUUCACAACAUUUUCCCCAUUUUUUAUUUUUUCCUUUUUUAUUUUUUAUUUAAAAUAAUUUCUUUUAUUUGGUCAAUGCAUUACUCGUUAAUUGAGGCAUGGCUUAGUCAUGUCAUGCACCAUGCUAGCCUACAAUGACCCAUGACGCUACACAACCUAGUCAUGUUGUGUGUCAUGUUGGGAAGAACAUGACACAAGGACCUUGAUUGAGAGCCCUACUCCCCCCCCCCUCUCUCUCUCUCUCUCUCUCUCUCUCUACUUAUUUUAUUUAUUUUNNNNNNNNNNNNNNNNNNNNCCCCCCUCCCCCCUCCUCUCUCUCUCUCUCUCUCUCUUCACAUUUUUUAUUUAAUUUUUUUGUGUCCUAAUUUUGGACGAAAAGUUUUUAGAGUCAUGAAGUUAAUAUGUUUUGAUCAUGACAAAGUGAUUAAGAUCAAAUUAUGGUUAAUAUUGAAUGUACUUUAUACAUAGAUGAAUUUCAAUAUGUGUAUAUAAUAUUCAAGUUAUGAUUUUCACAUAUAUAAAUGAGAGCUCAAUGAAUAUAUGAAAAACUGAUGAUGUGAAAUAACAUAGUUUACACAUUAUUAUGUGAAAUUUUCAUCUUGUAUAGUGAUGUUCAAGAUAUCAUUUUUUAUAUAAAUUUUCAUAAUUAUAAAAUAAAUAAUUUAAAUAAUAAAUUAAUGAGAUAAUGUGAAUUAAAAUAUUAGUAUGAAAGUUUUGUUAAAUUUAUAAACUCACAAUUUUCAUUUCAAAAUGCUCAAUAGAUUUUACAUUGAAUCAAUUAAAUGAUCUAUCAAGUGUCAUUUACAUCGACUAAUAUUUUCUAAAUAUUACUAAAUGAUAAUUAAAAAUCAUAAUAAAAUUUAUGAACAUUGAAGUUUUGAUUUGAAAUAUUGAGAACAUGAUUUGAAAUAUCUACUUAUAUCUUAUACUUUGUUUGAUAAAAUUCAGAUGAUAUCUAAACAAGAAAUUAUGACUUAAAUUGAUAUAUAUUUUAUUAGUUCUACUUUUGUCACUAACAUAUUAAAAAGAACUAUUUUAAUUUAGAUACAAAUAUUGUAUAUUAAAAGAUUCACAUGUUAGCUUCUUUAAAAGUUAUGUAAAAUGUUCAAAAGACAUCAUAUUAGUUUCACAAAAAGUUUUGAACUGAAUAUAUUUUAAGUGAAUAUAAACUUUAAAAAAUGAAAAAGUUAAGGGGCUAGGUGAAAUACCAAGUUGGAGAGUGAAUUAGUAUUUCUAUAAUAUCAUAUUUUCUUUCUAAAUCACAAAGGUAUUGACACACCUGCUAACACUAUUCUUUAUGAUUAUUUAUGUUUAGGUUUUCUUUUUCUCUCCUAUGAUGAGUUCUUUCACGAUUUUCUCUCCCUUACAAAUAAAAUAUAUUUUUAUAUUAGUUUGCCCUCACUUGACUACUUCUAGUCUCAAGAGAUCUUUCCUACUAAAUUUUACUUUUUCUCUAAGAAAUAUACAUUUAACUUUACAAAAUCUGUAACCUAAUAAGUUAGGUUUAAUCUUUAUAGAGAUCUAACCCCUUUUGAGCCAACUUAGGCUCAUAGCACCUAUUGCCUUUGCCCAAAAAUCAUCUCUCCUCACAACCCAAUUACUUUAGGGCCUAAUGAAGAGCUUGCUUGAAAUAUUCAGAUAUUUUAUUAAUUAUUAAUAGUUGAUAAAAAUAGAUGAAAUAGUCUAUGCAUGUUUGAAGCUCCACAAUAAAGUUUAUUGAUCGUGAGAAUGAUUUUUAUUAAUAGAUCAAAGUGGAAUGCUUGUUUUUCAUUUCUUCAACUUUCUUUUCUUGUUAAGCUUUAUCCUCCAAUGGUUUCAUGUAUUUUCUCAAUAGAUAAACUUAGAAGGUUAAUUCAAAUACUUAUCAUUUUCUAAAAUACAUGAUAAUGUCCUCUGAUCAUUAUGAAUUUAAUAACUUGUUGUUUUUUGAUCUGUUUGAUUUAAAAUUUGAAUUAAAAAUUUAUAUCUUAUGGAUGAACAAUUUUUUUUGGCAUUUUCUUCAAAUUCAAACAUUGAGUUGGCCGUUUUCUCUAUAUAAACAAUAUAUGUGUCACUAUCUAGAUUUUCAAUCCGAAAUUGAUAAAAGCUCAUUUAAUAUUUUGAAUCUUGUUUAUUCUCUUUCAUAAUGCAUGUGACUAAUACAUAAAUAGUUUAACUUAAAGGUUAAAUGAUUAUAGAUAAAUAGAUGAAUGAUAAUUUAUUUAAUCUCAUAAAUUUGACAACUCACUUAUUUCAUCAAAUGAAUUAAUCUCAAGGUUUCAUUCUUUGGAUUAAUAGGUUAGGCAUAAUAUCAUGAGAUAAAAAAUAGAUUUAAUACAUAAAAUAUAUCAAAUAUUUAUAAUAAUCUCAUAGAUAAAAUCAAAUCUGAAUAAUAUAUAUUUUCAUUAAUUGUAAUAUCAAAACUCGUGCCCAAGUGUAUCAAUAAAAAUUCAUAGAAAAUUUGAAAGAAAUUCAUAGAAGAUUUACUUAUAAGUAUUAGUAAUCUCUAAUAGAAAAAAUAAUGCACAACAACUAACUUUAUUUCCUCUAUCACUGCUACCUCUAUUUCAAUUGUUCUAUGUAUUGCAUUCAAGAGAGGGAAAAGAAACUAAAACUGAUUAUUCAUUUAUUGUGAAGGUAUUAACUUUAGGAACAAUUAUAACCAUUAAAGUUUAUACCCAAGUUGGUCAUCAUUACAAGCCUUCAAAUUUUACUACCAUCAGUCUAAAAACUAUAAGACAAGCCUAAAAUAAUCAACAUCAUAAUUCUCUAUUUUAGACAUAUAAAACAUAUAGAGUAUCACAAAUAUCCAAUAGUUGUUUCCUUAAAUAGCUAUUGGGCCUCCUAGAACUAUGAAUCUAUAAGGAAUUUCCUUGUGAAAUUUUGUGGAAGUUAAACCUUUGUGAUCAAUAGUUGUGAUUAGAUGAUCAUGGUAAAUAGAAGCUAAGAAUAUGAAGUGUUCUUGGAGAGUAGAUAUAAGGUGCAAGUAGAAUCAUUGUAAAAUGAAUAAGUCAACACCCACAUCAUAAGUUCAAAUUCAUUAAGAUAUAGAGAAAAUAUAUCAAAGAAAGAUUCUUUAAAAGACAAAAGGAGGUGCAAUCAAUUAAACCCAGACUCCCUCUUUGACUAUAGUACAAGCCAAAGCCCUACAAAGUUCUUUUUGUCUUGGUCCUUGAUAAGUUUUAAUUAUUAUGAGUUAAUAAUUUAGUGAGAUGAUGUUUUUAGCCUUAACUCAUGAUAAAUAUACUUAUUUUUAUACUAAAUCGUGAAAAGUAGUUUCUAGUUGGUUAAUAUGAAUUUUUGCGUAAUUACAUGAAUUUAUAAUCUUAUUUUGUUGAGAGAAAUGAAAAAAAAAGAUUUAAAGAAAAAGUAAAAAAACCGCUGGCCAACUGGGCCCGAUAGUAGGUCGAAGGCCUAAUCAGGCAGGGCCACUGAGCAACUAAGGACCGUGAGCCCAAGGCUCAAGCGGCUAAGGACCAGACCGAGAGCUCGAGGCUCAAGCCACUGGUGAUGCAAACCGUGAGCUAGGUGUUGAAGCGGCUAACGUGUGUGUCACUCCUCUUCCACAUCAUUAGUGGCCAAUCGGGCGUGGGGCAAGGAGUGGUCGUACACACACGGGUGAUUUGUACCUAUUGAUGGCUAAAGAAGUGGCUAUAUUAUAUUCUCAUGAAGAUUGCCUAGAAAACCGAUGUGAGACUAAACCCCGCGCUUUAACUUUUUCUCGCAUAUUUUAUAAAUGCCAAUAAUGCCUUUCAAGGACUGUUAGAAAUAAUCCUUAUGACGUCAUACAUUAAGGACAUUUUUAUACUUAUCUCAUCUCUCCCUCUUUCUCUCUCUCGCAAGUGGACAACCAACGAAGAAAUCGCGAUUUCCGGCGAACGAUUAAGAUUCAAAAAUUACCAAAAAUUCAGCAAAAACUUAGUCAACGCGAUUCGUGGAGCAUCGUGGCCGAAAUUAGUGUAGGAUUCUGAACAAAACAUCACGAACUCAAUGAAAAAAUUAUCUCCGCUUGAUCGAUGAAUAAGCCGUCACCGAGAAGAGGACGAUAUGUUGGGAGAUGAGUCGCCACCUCUUAAGAGUGUACCAGAUGCAAUAAAAAGCCUUCCUUUUUGCACUGACUUGAGGAUGAAGCCCAUGAGAUGCGCCCCACCUUCAUCCAACAUACCUUUGUUGAGUGACAGUCGUCGGAGGGCUGCAAGUCAUUGUUUUUCUGUUCUACCGAGUGAUAGCCGCCGGAAAUGAUUUGGCGACACAUUCCACCAAUUUUUGAGCUUCAAAAGAAGAUCUAGAGAUCACCCACAUCGUCUUUGUCUAAGGAGAGCCUUCAAGGCCGUGGACAUUGCACGAUUUCCUUUCUGAACACGUAAAAUUCUAACAAUUGCCACCAUAAAACGGGUACUUUGUUUUUCCUGUUUUAAACUUUAUUUUCAUUUAAAUUAGUGAUCUUUGACACAAUUCAACCUUCAACAUCUUUCGUCCUUGAGUUACGAUUUUUCGGGCUUUUACAUAACUUAAUUUGACCAAUUAAUUUGACAGUAAUCACUUACGAAAGAAUUGUAGGUCGGAACUCUAUUUUUGUCCGAUUCGUGUUCUUCAAGUGCUAUGUGACCUGACAUAAUAACCUUAUUUCCUUUUCAUAUUUAUUAAAUAUAUUAUAUUUAUCAUUUAGUUAAAAAAAUUAUAAAAAAAUCAUAAAAAAUUAUAUUCUUUAAGGAAAAUUUUGAAAUAUUACAUGAUAUUAUAUUACAUCUCUGUAAUUGAAUUGGAAAUUUCUCACUAUCUUUAGAAUCUUUUAUUAAUUUAUAAUUAAUUUAUUCACUCUGAUAAACCUUUAAAAUUCUAAGAAUUAGUCUUUUCUGGUUUUAUAAAUUUUAAAUUUACAUGAUUUAUUAUACAAUGAUUAAGUCACGUCAAUCCUCAAUGAGUUAUGUCAUCUUAUUUAACUUGUACUCGGGCCUCAAUUGUUAGUCUGUGAUUUGAGGCAUGUCAUAACUUUAGGCUUUAUAACUAGUUUAAAUAUGAUCCACAUUGCACUUUGGACUUCAUUUAUUUAGUGCUUGCAAACCACCCUUUCUUUAGUUGACUAUUGAGCUGAAACCAUUAAAUAUUAAAAAAGUCUUUAAAGAUUAUUGGUCUCAUUGUUAUUUGGACUAAGCCUCUUGGCUUAAUCAAGGCACAUCUUACUAGACCACACUUCAAUAAUACUUUAGAUUAAUUAUGAAAAAUGAUUAUAGAAAUAAAUAUUUAUAUACAUAUAUAAUAAAUCAUAUAAAAUUCAAGUUUUGAUAUUUUGUCAAUUUGAUUUGAAGCCUAGUAAUUUUGGUUUAAAAAAUUGCUUUAGUCUUAAUAUCUAAUAUAUGGAGAUAGACAUUGAGUAAAUAUAGCAUGUAAAUAAAAAUGUGUUGCUUCUUAACAUCAACUAUAUUCUUUGUAUGAGAAUAGUGGAACCCAUGAUUAAAAUAUUUGAAAAGUGGACCUACAUCAAGGAAGGUCAAACUAUCUAAAAUUUUAGAGUUUAGUCUAAAAAUAAUAUUUGAGCUGACUCUCAAUGUAUGUGUGUCAACUCACUCAUAGUGUCAACCCACUCUAAAAUUAUCUCAAGCCAAAGCAACAUAGUUUUACUCAUAGAUAUAAAAGAGCUUAAAAGUUCAAAUAAGCACAAGCUAAAAUAAAAAAAAAUACUCUCACCAUCUUGGUAUAUUUCUUAGCCAACUAGGGACCCUCCAGAAGUAGUAUAUCUUAAUUGAGAAUUACACUUGAAUAAGUUUCAAAAAGGUUAUAACUUGUAAACUACACUAAAAAAAUGAACAUUUUCAUAAAAUUUAUGGCAAAUUAUUCAAUAUUAUAUUUCAAAAUAAUGAUUUCACAUAGAGAGUAAGUAGCCAUUUUUUAAAAGUUGGUAAAAAAUCAACUAAUGUUUGUCUUCCAUUUAACAAUAGUUGUCUUCCUUUCAUUUUGUAAUUUAAUCAAAGCAAGGAUUAAAUACUAAAAUUUUUAAAGUUUUAGGGCCAAAUGAAAAAUAGAUACGGUUAUCCUUGAAUCAAGGGAUUUUGGGGGAGGUAAGACUUAACAGCCGUAUGUCUUGGUUAUUGCCACUCAAGUUCAAGAAAAUAAGUUAUGACUUUCUUUUCUUCUUAACUCACCUAAAAAUAUUGUAAAUAGGGCAUACAAUAUAAAAUUAAAUGGUAAAAUUUUAAAUGAUAAUGAGUUACAAUGAAUAAUACAAAUUUGAGAAAUGUAUUUUGUUGGUGUUAAAAUAUGCUAUUAAUCCCAAUAGAAUGUUACAACCUAAAGAUGCACCUCACUUAGGUGCAAUUUGACUUGGAUGUAGAGUAAACUUUCUUAUUGUAGAUAAUGUUUUGCAACUUUUCUUAUGUAACUAACUACAUACUAAUUGGAGAAUUUUUUGAUUAAAUUUAACCAUCAUUUAUGUUUAUUUUUAUCAAAUAAAAAACUAUUAUUUAUUAACUUGAACAAGGUUAUGUUAUAAAAAAUUCACGAAUUUCAAAACACCAAUUCUAAAAGUAUAUUUUAUACUAUAUAAUAUGUAAAUAUUACACAAGAUUUUACCAUGUACAAAUAGAUAUUAUGCACUAUAUUUAUCAAUGUGUUGCAUUUUGUAAAGAACAAUAGAAAAUAGAGGGAGAAACCCCUAAGUCAGAUAAAACAUAGAGGCAAAGGAGGAGAUAAUGAUCCUUUGUACGAGAGGAUAGAGAGGAGGUACAACAAAAAAUACACCUCAAGUUUUCUCUCUCACCCACUAAGUUCCUUAAAUAGGGACAAACCCAAAUAAUAUUUUUUGCAAAAUGUCCUUUGACAUAAUUACUCUUUUAUCUUCUAAUAGCCCCUUCAAAAUGAACUUCAAAAAGGUUUAUCUUGACUAAGUUAUUGAUGAUGAUUUCAUUGUUGAUGUGUGAGAACUCCUAUAUAUGUUCCCUUAAAAAGACUGAUAGAAUAGACAUAGACUCCUCUUGAUAAGAGUAAUGUCACCUUGAACAUCAGCACUAAUACUAAAAACAAGACUCCCUUCGAUAAGGAUAGUAUUACUUCAAACACAUGCAACAAUAUUAGGAUAAGACUUCCCUAGAAAAGAGUAGUGCUACUUCUAACAAAAGCAUCAAUACUAAGAUAAAACUCUUCUAGAAAUGAAAAAUGCUGCCUUUAAAAUGGAUAUACAGAUAUAUUACACUCUUAUAAGAAGGAACAAUGUUACCUUUAACAUGGGCCACACUACUAGAUCAAAAUGUCUAUAGAUGGGAGUAGUGACACCUCUAACACAAGAAACAAUAUUAAGAUAAUAUUCUCCUCGAACAAAGUAGUGCUUCCUCUAACAUAGACAAUAACGUUAACAAUGUCACUUGACAAAUGACAUACAAUUAAUUCAACAUCAAAUAGAGACCACCUUAUUGAACAAGGUACAAAACCUUAGUGUAAAGGUGCCAAUGACAAUAGUGAUAGCCAAUAGAUGAUACCAACAAAUAAUGAUAAUGUGAGGCAAUCUCAAAUUGAUAAAUGAUAUGUCAAGACUAAGAACAGAGCUGAAUUAAGAGGGACAUCAUAUAGAGAAUGGAGUCAACACUAAACAAAAGAUGACUAAUGUUGAGAAUAGCCAUACUAAUGAGGACGUCAUAUAGACAAAACAGAGGACUAUGAUGCCUAAAAGAAGACUAAGGAGAACAUAAGACACCCCAAGACAUAGGAUGUUGUUGAACCAAAAAAUGAUGAGUAACAAUGUGAGAUGACACCAAACUAAUAAAGGUAAUACCACACAAAGGAUGACACAUGAUUGAGAACAUUAGACAAACCUUAGACACGUGAAAUAGAAGCAUCAAAGGCACAAAAUAGUGACACAAUUGGACUAGAUGCUACCUUAGAUAGGGAAAUACUAGACUAGAUGUCCCCCUCCCAAACAAGUGCGGUGCUAGAGUGAAUGUUGUCUCCCCAAAAUAGGGGUCACCCUUGAAAGGGAACUAAGUUAGACUUGUGGAGUUUCCUAACAAGUGACAGCACUAGACAUGUAGUGUCACUAGAUUAGGGCAGCAUUGAAUUGGAUGCUACCAUGACAUCAAUGUUAACUUGGUUAUGAUGCUAGAUGGGAGGUGGCACCAAAGUAUAGACAAUGUCAUAAAGGGGUUGGGAUCCCUAAGGUGUCAGCCCUAAAUUAGGACAAUGCCAAGUUGUGCAUGGUAAGACAUCAAUGGAGAUGGUGUGGGACAAUAUCUAGUUUUGUGUGAUGUCACAAAGGUGCAAGAGAUGAUGUGAGAUAAAACCCAAUUAGUGCUCUAUUAUCACAAUACUACCUUGCCAGUGACAUACUUCAUCAAAUGGAAACAAGGGCUCAAAAGAGGUGGUAGAUUGAUGGCAAAGACGACAAUGGUGCUAGAUUGGUGGUGAUGGUAAUGAUGAUGCUCCGCUUGAUAAGAGAAGCUAGACAAAAUUGAUGAUGAAUAGAGGUCAUUGUUAGUAGUAGCAAUAGACAGGGGAUAAACCAUAAUGUGGAUGAUGAUAGGAGCAAUGCCGAUAGUAAUGGUGAUGACAAUGUUAAGGUUAACCUAGGCUUUGAUAUUAUGCAUAAAACAUGAGGAAAAAGAGGGAGAAAUUCCUAGGUUUGAUAAAACAUAGAGAUAAAGAAGAGAGAGGGAUCAUCUAGAUGAGAGAAUAGAGUGGAGGGGCACAAAAUAUGCCUUAAGUUUUCUCUCUCACCUACUAAGUCCUUUAUAUCAGUACAAAUCCUAACAAUAUUUUUUCCAAAACACCUUUUAACCUAAUUAUUCAUAUAUUUUUACAUAUUCAAAAUUCAUAAAUUUCAAAUUUAUUUAUUAAUUUUAAUUUUAAGUUUUAUGGUUUUUAAUUUUUAUAAAAAUAUAAAAUGAUUUAAUUAAAUUGUAUGCUAUUAAAUAUUAUAUGAUUAAUAAUGAGAAAGAAAAUAUAUUUCAAUAUUAAAAUUUUUAACUAGUACAUUGUGAGGAAAAAAUCUUAAUUCAUCAUUUAAAAUCACACAAAUAGAUUUUAAUAAUGUCACACUAAUGGUCAUUUCCAAGGUAGGUAGCCAAACAAUGGAUUUGUUUUUUUGUUCAUCGCUUUCAUUGGUAUUGGUAAUGACAAGUCAUAUUUAUUAAUAUUCAUCAUCAAAAGUCAACAACUUGAUUCUUGUUUGAUUAUUUCAUCUUAUGCUUCUCAUCUAAGUUAUUUAUUAUAGUUGAAAAAAAAUUUGCAAAAAAUUGUGGCACGUUUAUCAAUAGCUUUUAUGGUAAGUUCCCAUGUUCUAACUAAUUUUGUGCCUAGAACUAAGAGUAUAUAUAUUUAGUUUUUUAUUUAUGUUACAGCAUUCAUUAAAUUUUCUUGCAAUGUGAACACGUACUUGAAUUUACAAGUACGUAUCAUUAAAUAUGCUUUUUAAAUGAUAGAAAUUCAAUGAUGGUGAUUUAAUGGAUAAAGUCUUAAGUUCGGCGUAGCAUUAAAAAGUAACGAAUAUAACUAUUAUAUUAUUAAUACUAGUCGGAAAGUAUUAUUUUUUUCCCCCUUCCGGUUCCCCUCAGCUUGCUUUCACUGUCCUCCUCGGCACUGGGAAUGCUCUCGUUCUCUCUCUAGCCUGCGGGGCCUGCGGGAGGUGAUCAUCGACUUAGCCCCUCCUCUCGCAGAUCCAUCGCACUGUGCUCCCUCUGGCCUCCUUCCUCGGUUGUCCUGCGGCGUUUCCCUUCCCCUGAGUGGCCGCGGGGGUGCUGUUGUUAACCUCGCUGGUCGGUUUGGUCCAGGGGGUCCCCCGGCUCUCCGCGUUCCCCGGUAGCUCUGGGAUAUACUUCUGCGAGUGGACGCGGCAGUCUCCCUUUCCUGCUCUACGGAUCUGGGGGUGGGCGCUCUCCGAUUAGUGUCUCGGCGAGAGGUAAGCCGAAGUUCACUCUCUGUUAGCCGCAUCUUUCUCUAUCUCUCGCUCUCUCUUUUCGCUCACUGACCCUUUUUUUUUUCUUUUUGCUUUUUUUCCUGCACAGGUUUCUUAAACUCUUGGGCAUGAGAGUUAUAACCGCUCCUUGAUCCUCUGUUUUUCUUCUUCCUCCUCCUAUCUAGCUGCUAGGGCUCGGAUUGCCUUGUCCCGUAGGCACAGGCCUGAUGGAUUGAAUAUGUUGGUUGGUCACGGGACUUGAAUUGCUGGAUGGUGGCUGAGCCGCGCGGACUGGUUGCGGUAUUACCUCACGUAAGCGAUAACUUUUAGGAUCCUAAUAUUUUGGCGCAGUUUUUGUUUCCUUUGUGAAUAUUUUUAUGCCACUUACCGUAAGAGCAUUAAUGCUUUUCUGAAAUUUCUCUUUCAUCGGGUUGUUAGUCUAAUUUUUUUGUAAUUUACUGUUUGGUUUCUUUACAAGUAUGUCCUACAUGCUACUUAUUGAGGCAUUUAGAAGGAGCGGAAUAGGAGAACCCUUAAGCUAUCGAAGCUCUUCGUUAUGAAGAGUUAUCAUCUCUAUCUGCUAUAGAGAGGCGGAGUGGGCUUCAAACAUUAGUUAUUGCAAAUGAGUUCAGUCCUAUGUCUGGAGGGGCAAGGAUCCCAGCGUGGCCCAUAAUGUUUUGGCGCAGACUUCAGGACAUCAUUUACUGUCUCUCUGUGAUAUUUACAAGAGCGGGUAGAUCCCACAUGAGGGAAUAUGGCUUGAAGUCGCACUUUGUGUCAACCCAAACUGCAUCUUCCUCUCCAGGACUGCGCAAAUGUACUUUUGGAACACCAAUCAUAUACUUCUCUGGUACUUUCCUUCGUAGUUCAUAAAUGCGUGGUAUUAUCUGCCUAAGAGAAAAACGGUUUCGCUUACUGAUGGCAGUGUUUUAGUUGCAGCAGACACAUACAUGCAUCAGUGACAGUAUAUAUCUUUAAGCUAUGAGAAACCGCCUUGGAAAUUCUAACAACUCAGUUGAUUUACUGUAAAUCAUUUAUAGCUCGAAAAUGGCUCAUUAUCAAACCGUAUUUUGGUGAAAUACGGGGCAUCAGGAGACUGGUUGCAUAACAUAUGUCAAUAAUUCAUAAUAACAGUUAUUAAUUGUGUUGCAAACUUCUUUCCAAUAAUAGCAUUGUGAAGAAUUACCUUCGAAAACUUAAGGCUACAUGCUGUGCUGCGUUAAUAUUUUAGAAAUGCCAGAAUGUCAAAAUGUGAACGGGGCUCUUACGGGACAAUUUUGUGGAGACAUUGAGAAAGCAUAUUUAUCUUAACAUUAAUCGAAAAUUUCAGUUUAUGUUGGUCUAGGCUUGUCAAUGCAGAUACUUUGUCUGCGAUGGAAAUAUCUGUGUUAUGUUGAGUAUUCCCUUCUUUUGUUAAUGCUUCUGGUUUUCAUAGUUUUGCUUAGCUUGAAUGAACGUUUAUAUGUUAACCAAAAUUUUACUAGAACGAAAAAUUUAUACUUCGACUACUGGUGCUAAAAGUGUUCACAAUUGGCAGGACGGGUAAGCUAUUUAUGACCUAUAGCUCACAAUUGGUAGCAUCUGCAAGAGAUAUGCAAUCCAGAGGUAAAACUUGUUUAUUUCAUUCUCAUGUGUGGAAAACAUGUAGAAGAGAUUUAAAUCACAUGACUUCUGAGUUUUUCUGACCAUUUUAUUGUUCACUCAGAAGGAGAUUAGGAACAAUAAAAACGAAAAUUGGGGAAUAGGUGAUUGUAGAUCCCUUUUUGACCUAUAGCUCAUCAUUUAUUGAAAGCAUAUAGAAACUGGAAUUGGAAUAUCUUUGUGAUGGACAUUAAGUUUCAUCACACUUGUUAUUGUUCUGCAGUGGCCCAUGGAGACGUGCUUUUUGUCUUUCAAUAUUCAAAAAAUCCCUUAUUUAUCCUGCUCAUCUUUUUGUGUUGCUACUCAUACUUAUUUUUGUAGUUGAUGUUUGCCAUAAGCAUAUCUAAGAACCAUUAACAGUUUCAGAGUUGGAAAAUGCUGCUCUGUUAUUUCGCCAAAAUAUCAUCUGGAAGCUUCCUAUAUUAUUUGAAAAAUUGUUAAUUGUUAAAUGCUCCCCUUCUUUCCAGGUUUCAUUAUUAAAAGGUUACUUUUUUAAAAUCCAUGAAUAAUUUGUAUCUGUUGUUGUUCAUAAAUCUUCACCUAAACCAGUAUUCUCUUGAUAGAGUUUCUGUGUUUGCCUUUCGAACUGAAAUUCAAAUGCUUUCUUUCUUCCUGCAUAUCUUGAGUUAUCUGGGAUUUGUGGAUUGCUUAGUUACCAUCUCAGUCGUUUUAUUUGGGUUGGGUGUUCAAAGUUGACGUCUGUCAUACCAUUAUGGCCUUGUUUUGCUGUGUUUCUUUUCUGCGUUGUGUUGACUUCCUGCUGAAUACCGAAGAUGGCGACAUGAAAUUUUAUUAAAUUUCCUUGUAACUAUUGAAAAACAUCUGCGAAUUAAAUUAGGCAGAAAAAGUCCUGGCCACUUGUCGUUCUAUAUUCCUAGAAGUUAUCAAUGCAAAGUUAUUUCUUCCUCAAAAGAUAAAGGGACCUACCAUCACUGUUUUUUAUGGCUAAAAACUAUUUUUUCGAUCCUUAUUGACUGUAGUGUGCUGCAGAUAGUAGUGAUUGUUAAGAUACUGCCCCUUCCUACAAAGUGAUUGGACAAAUACCUUUGCAGCAAACAGUAAUUCGUGCUCAAGUCCUGUCUUCGUCUUCUAACCUCUUUUUGUUCCCUAUGAAAGCAGUUAUAACCAUGAAUUCAUUAAGUUACAAAAUGAAACUUAGGUAUAUUCCUGUGUUCAUCAGUCAGCUCCCAAAACUUGCUUUUACAGAAGCAAUAGAUACUAAUUAGUCAGAUACACUCUUUUACCCUCAAGUAAUAAAGUGGGAAAUUCUAUCAAUGGAAUUGUAUGCAUGUUAUGUUACCCGGGUCACCCUACAGCACAUGACCUAGGCAACAGGCAACCGUGUGGCGGCACGAUGCCGGCACAAGGCAGCAUGGUGCCUGCACGUGGCGGCACAGCAGGCAUGUGAGGUGGCACAGCGUGCUUCUGACAGCUUGUAGUUUUUUCCUAAUAUUUUUGUUGUUUAUGAGAGAAACUCAAAGCUUUGGUAGCAAUAACGAUGUUAGGACUUACCGUUUACCUAUUGAGGUGCAGUUAUUCGACUAAUCAUUUAUGGCUUCCCUCACUUGAUGUCACGUAUUUGUGUGUGUUGAUUGCUUUUAAUGUUAUAUGUGGGGCCACUUUUCUGUUAUAACGGUGAUAAAAACAGUUAUGAAAUGUUGAUUUUAUUAGUUGUUUUAUUUUAUUUAGAUAUAUUAUUUAUGGGCUGAGUAUGAUUUAACUUUCAUGUUUCCUUUUCUAGGUUAUUGAGAUGCACACAUUUUACCCAGGAUUAAUUUCAACGGGCUUUACUUCCCAUCUCGUGCAUGAAGUCUCAUGAUUUCUUCCAAUGAUUGAUGAUUUCUGUCAGACUGGUGAAACUCAUAAUUAUUCGAUUUUCGCUGUCCUUUGUAACCUGGUUGUAUCAUACAAGCUACGGCGCUUACUUUAAAGGAGAAGACUUUUUUUAAA